GUCUCUCCCGAAAAAAGAAAAAUGGGGAAAGUGGUGGCUACUUACACAGUGAGACCAGCCAGGGAGACACCAGGAGGCUGCAGGUGUGUAUCAGACAGUGAUCAAGUUAGAGCUCUCACUCACGCACCCACCUUCUACUUUUACCCACCUGUGAAUGUGUCCCUUGAAUCGGCCACCGAGAUUCUGAGGCACUCUCUGAGUGAGGCUUUGGUGAUUUUCUAUCCACUAGCGGGACGAUUGCACUGGAUUGGUGGAGGCCGCCUUGAGCUCGACUGCAAUGCCUUGGGGGCUCUACUCAUUGCAGUCGAGUCCGAAGGCAAAAUCGAUGACUAUGGAGACUUCCGACCAACCCCAGAGAUCCGAGCUCUCAUCCCUUCAGUGGAUUACGACAAGCCAAUCGAUGAACUACCAUUGCUGUUGGUGCAACUCACCAAGUUUAGCUGUGGUAGCAUGAGUCUGGGCUUGGGAAUAUCGCAUACCAUCGCUGAUGGCCUUAGUGCAUUACACUUCAUUUCAGAGUGGGCUAAAAUCGCCCGUGGCGAGCAAGCCAACAGCCCACCAUUUCUGGAUCGAUCAGUUUUACUAGCCCCGGAGCAUUUGACCGCACCAGUGUUUGAUCAUCCAGAGUUUGGUCCUCAACCCCUCUUGAUUGGGAAGCAAGAUAACAUGGAAGAGCGGAAGAGAGAAACCACUACACUCAUGUUAAAAUUAAGCAAAGAUCAAGUCGAGAAACUGAAGGACAAAGCCAACAAAGAUCGGAGUCCUUCCGACAACAAGCGCCCCUACACCAGGUAUGAGGCUAUUGCUGGACACAUCUGGAGGAGUGCGUGCAAGGCACGUCAGCAUGAAAGCCAGCAGCCAACACUAUUGUCUAUCAUCGUUGAUGCUCGCAAUCGCAUGGAGCCACCAUUGCCCCCCAGGUAUUUCGGAAAUGGUACAUUUCGGGUAACUGCUGAAACCACAUCAGGGGAGCUAGUCUCCAAUUCUUUAGGUUUUGCUUCAGGUAAAGCGCGACAGGCAAUAGAGAAGGCAACGCAUGAAUAUUUACAAUCAUCUCUUGUGUAUGUGAAAUGUCAGGAGGAUGUGACCAAUUUCAGGAAUUUCCACACCGUUGGGUGCGCCAAAGGGGCUUUCUAUGGGAACCCUAAUCUUGAGAUCACUAGCUGGGCUAGACUUCCCAUCUAUGGGGCAGAUUUCGGGUGGGGCCAGGAAAUAUACAUGGGGCCUGGAGGAAUUGGCUACGAUGGUAAGGUUUUCGUAUUUCCCGGCCAGGGUCAAGACGGAUCAUUCGUUGUUGCGUUGAGGCUGCAAGUACGCCACGUUGACGCUUUCCAGAAAUUCUUCUACGAAGAUAUUUGAGACUAUACCUAGUAUUUGAGUCUUCAACAAUAAAAUCCCAUCUUUCCCUUUAUUAAGUAAACUCAUUUCAUUAAUAUUUGAGUUUGAUUUUGAUUUUGCUUAAUUUUAUUAGAAAUUUGGAUUUGAUUGGAAAAGAAUAGAGAGAGCCAGUGUGUUUCUUUCUCAUAAUAACUUGUUCUUGUAUUGGAAAAUAUUUUGUCUUCAAAAACCAUUUUCAAUUAAUCCUUUACUAUAAAAUGAGGAUAAAACGUAACCCUAGGCUACUUUUCUAAGAUAAAUCAUAAUCCUUUGCUAUAAGUAUUAAUAAUAAUAAAAAAAAAACUCGAUGUACAAAAGAAAAGCAAACUUUGUAUGGGACUAAAUAGUGAAUAUUUCUUCUAUUGCCCUGGACUUCAUUUCUGACUCCGCCACUGUCGUAGAACGUGGGCAAAGCACGUUCUUUCCAUGGACGGGUCAUUUCCAUGUCUACGUCAGAAGUCAGGCUGUCUGGUGUUUUUGCCAAUUUCUUGUUGAAAUUAGAACAGGCAAGGGUUCGGUCCUGUACCUUACCCCGGGUCAGGUCAGCACAGCACAGAUUUACCUGUCUUGUAAGGCACAAGCUUGUCAGCGCAUAAUGCGCUGCAUCAUUGCAUUAAAGGUCCACCCACACGCCGUUUACCCCAUUUUUAUUUAUUUAUUAUUAUUAUUAUUAUUUUUUUAGAAUUGUGUUUUUAUCCGACUACCCUCAAAAAUUAACAUUUGAUCCAUAUAUAAUGGAUAUUUAAGUCAAAGAUCCAAACAAAGUAUAAAAAUUAAAAUGAAGGAAAUUAUCUUUUAUUAAUUUUUAAAAUACCCUUAAUCCUUAAAUAGACACAAGUGAAUGUGAAUUUCAAAUUUUUUUAUGUUUUUUUUUCAUUUUCUUUCCAUUUUCUAUUCCCUAUUAAGUAUUACUUAUUUUUAACUUCUUUUUCUCUCAAUCUAUAUUUUUAUUUUAUGUCAAAUAAAAAAUAAUAAUGUUUUUUUGUUUUUCAUUUUUAAAGAUAUUAAAUCUUUUUGCUCUUAUUAUAAGCAAUGAUAAAAAUUUUGGGAUUUUUCAUCCAAAUAUUUUUUAUCUUUUUGCAUUUAUCUUUUAGUUUAAUUUUCAUUUUUAAUUUUAAAUUUAUAUUACCCUUUCAUUUAUACUUUUCUCUUAUUUUUAAUUAUUUUUUAUAUUUUCUACAUUAACCAUAUUUUAAAAAAUUUAAAAAUUGACUAUCACUUCAAUUUAUUUUUUAUAUAUAUAUAUAUACUUUUAGCUUUUUAAUUUUUAAUGUUUCUAUUUUAAAAUUUUUAAAAAGAUAAAUUUAUUGAAAAAAAUAACUAAGGUAUGAAGUUCUAAUAUAAUAUUAAUAAUUUUUCUUAUCUAAAUAGAUUAAUGCAAAGUAUUUUGACUCACAACAAGAAAAUUGUCAGUACAAUUUUUUAGUUAAACUUUAGAAAUUAAAUUUUAAAUAAAAUAUUUUAUAUAAAAUUUUAUCUAAAAAUUAUUGAAAGUGGUAUUUAAUUUUUUUUAUUGACUUUCAAACUUAUCUAAUUUUUUACUUGAAGGGUAAUAGAACAUGUUUACAAAAAAAAAGAAAAAAUUAGUUUUUCAUUUUUUAAAUAAAUGAGUAUAAAUAUAUUAAAAAAAAUUAAAGAUAAUCUUAGUAAAAAUUUGAUAAAUAUGAUUAUAAUUUUAAAUAUAGACUCAUUUGGAUAAAAUUUCACAAAAAAAAAAGUAGUGGAAAGAAAAAACAUUGCUAAAAUUAUAAAAACAAAAUAUGCAAUUACAAAAUUUGAUGAUGAAAUUUAAAAAUAAAAUUCGAAAAAAUUCUUGAGUGAGAGAAUUUGAGUGGGGAAAAAUAGGAAAGUUUUUCAAAAUCACUUGAAAUCCUUAACAAAAAAUAGUCUUGUACACCUUUGUACAAUUAGUAAAUUUGUUUUGUAUAGUUAGUGUAAUACCCUUAUACAAUAACUCAAAUUUUAACAUCAUCUCAUGAAUAUCUGACAAUAGGUCGAUUAACCAUAUUUGCAUUGGUUUGGUUUUAGAAAAGAAGAAAAAUUGUUAUAUAAUUUUGUUUUACAAUUAUCAUAAGUGAGGUACCUAUUCAAAUGACCAUAUACAAGUUAGAGUACAUGAGAUGAAUGUAUGCUUAACCAAUGUGUGUAAGGAAUGUCAUUUAUCCUCGGUUAGGGGAAAUAAACAAACAAAAUUUUCAAAAUCACUUAAAAUCCUUCACAAAUAAUAGUCUUGUACACUCUUGUACAGUUAGUAUAUUUGUUAUGUACACUUAAUGUAAAUACCUUGUACAGUGACUCAAAUUCCAUAUACCCUGUACUUAAUGUGUAACCAUAGGUAGGUUAACCAUGUUUUCAUUGGUUUGUUUAAAAAAAUAGUGGAAGAUGGAAAAACAAAAUUUUCUCUCAAACAUCAUUAAUGGUUAGAACAUUUGUCUUGUAUAGUUAGAACAUUUGCCUUGUCCAAUUGAACAUUUACCUUGUACAAUUAGUAUAAUACCAUUGUACAAUGGUGCAGAUUUCAUUCAUAUGCAUACAUUAUGUGUCACAUAUGAUGUGUGAACCAUGUUUCCAAUGAUUUGAUUUAAAAAAUGAUAUAAAACGUAAAAACAAAAUUUUUCUCUAAACAUCAUUAUUAAAGUAGGCAUUUGAAUUGUUGUAUGCGAGUUAAAUAAAGUACAUGAAAUAAAAGAAUUUGUGGUAGGAGAACGUAUAAUCCAUAGAUGACAAGAAAAAAAAAAGUUGUUCAAAAUGUAUAGUUUUGUAUACCCCUUGUACAAUUAGUGUAAUAACCUUAUAUAAUGAUAUAAAUUUUAUAUAUAUGUAUAAAUUAUAUCCACAUGAGUGUGUAAACUAUGUUCCUAAUAGUUUGAUAUUUAAAUAAUUAAAUAAAUAAACCGUUAUUUUAUUUUAUUUUCAAUGCAAAAUGUAAUUAAAAAUAAGACAAAGAAAUUACUUAAAAACUAUUAUUUAAUCCAAGUUUAUUUAUUUAUUUCCUUUUAUUUUUGGAAAUAAAGAAAAAAGAAUAAAAAAUUUAUUUAACCAUAAGAAAUAUGAAUAGAAGAUCAGUUAGAAAAUACUAAAUUUAUUUAUUUAUUUCAUUUUAUUUUUGGAAUAAAAGAAAAAAAUUUAUUUAACCAUAAAAAAUAUUGAUAUAAAAUAUGUUAAAAAAUAGAAAUAAUCCUAAAUUUAUUUACUUAUUUCAUUUUAUUUAUUUAAAUUAGAAAGUAAUUUAUUUUAAUAGAUUAAAAUGUACAUAAUUGAUUUAUUACUUUCUUAAUUGUGUAUAUAUAUAUAUAUAUAUAUAUAUAUAUAUAUAAUUUAGUUAUUUAAUUAUUUUUUAUGUAAAAGAUAGUCCCACAAAAAACACAUAAUUGAUCAAUUUCUUUAUUUAAUUGUAAACAUACUAUAUUUUUUUAUUUUUUUUAUUAAAAUAACUAAUGGAAAAAAAUAAAAAUGGAUAAUCAAUGAAUGAAAUUUAAUUAUUUUUAUUAUUUUCAUAUAAAAAUAGUAUUAAACAAGGUUUUCAAUUUUUAUUUUUAAAAAUAGUUUUCAUUUUUUAAUUAAAUGUUUUUUCAAAAAGAAAAUAUAAAAAAUAUAAAUCUGUGGACCCCGCAUUUCGUGCUCAUGCGUUUCCCACUCGAUGAUGAGUUCGAUUUUUAUUUUGAAAAAUGAUUUAAUUGGUUAAAAAAAAUGACUUGGAGUCGCCACUUAUUUUUGUUUUAUUUUUAAAGGUUAAACAAAAUAAGAAAGAAAACCCUAAGUGUGACUCCUUAUUUUGGAAAAAUGUGAUCUCCGAAAAACCGAAUCGGGUUCGGGGAUCAGGUUACUUAUCAGGAAGGUACGGUAAAAACCGUAUCACCCUUCUAAGUCCCUAAAAAAGGGUCUCUACUAAUAAAAUGAAGCUGAUGUGGCAAUUGAUGAGUAAAUCAAUGAAUAUCCUGAAUGAUCAUGCACACAUAAGAAUCGAGACAUGCAUAUAGAAAGACCAGAAAGAGAGUGGAUGCGCACCUGGGAGAUAAGCCACAAUGUGCUAUCAAGAGAUAGGGUUAGCGCAUAAUAAUGAACAUGAAAUAUGUCACUCAAAACAAAAAUAACUGAAUGAACAAAAGAGGCAAAAGACGUACCUAAGUGAUGAACUCAUUUAUUUCAUGGGAAACAAAGGUUAGUGAACAAAUUCAGAGCAAUCGUGUGCAUAACAUAGAAUAGAAUGAAUCACUCAUAUAUAGCAAUCAAAACAACCAGCCAAUCAAUCAAUCAGUCAUAAAGUCACAUAUGUCGGGCCCCCACCAAAGCCCAUUUAUUUUUGCAUGAAUUAUUUUCGUAAAUUCCAUUCAUUAGAAUCACAAAGUUAAAUUCGUGCUUAUUGAAAUCAAGAGGAACAUGAGAUUGUUCGAAAAAUGGAAUUAAAACAAUUGGAGAGGAAAUCGGAAUUUUGAAAUUCAUUUGAAAAAUUGGGGUCUUGAAGGUUAUUUAAAAUUUGGAGUUUUAUAGUUUAUUUGGAGAUCAGACUUUCAGAAAUUAAAUGCGAGAAUGAGAAUUUUUAGAAAUUAAAUUUGAACGAGAUCGGAAACUUGAAAAUGAUUUGAGAGUUCGGGAUUUUAAAUGAGUGGAUAAGCGGAUGAGUGAAUAAGUAAAAGAAUUGAAUAAUAAUGAUGGUGAAAUAAUAAAGAUUAGGUAAAUAAUUGCGAAAGAUGGAAUUUUAGACAUUUGAAGAUGCGAAUUUAGAGAUUGAAAACUUAAGAAUUUAUUUAGAGAUGAGAUCUUUGGUAUAUGAAUAACUGAAUAAAUAAGUGGAUGAGAUAACAUUAAUAACGAGAAUAAUCAUUAAACGGCGAUAUAUGGACGGUGGAGUUUUUGAGAUUGGAAAUUAGAUUUGGAAGUUGGAUUCUGAUGAAUUAAACUUUAACGAUUAGAAUAAUCAGAUAAUAUGGAAUAAUAAUGCUACUUAAUGGAAACGAUAUUUUGAACGAAUAGAGAAGGAGCAGUGGAAUUUUAAGAUUGAAAAUUAAGUUAGGACGUUGAAUUUUUGAAGAGUUGGAUCUUAAAUGAAUAAAAAGAUAAAGGAUAAGAAUUCUAGUUAACAAAAAUAACGUUUGGGCGAAUAAUAGAAUUUCUAAGGUUGAAAGUUAAAUUGAGAUUUUUGAAAGAUUGAACUUUAAAUAAAUAUGGGAUGAUGAUUCUAAUUGAUGAAAAUGAAAUUUAAAUGAAUUGUAGAAUUUUUUUAGGAUCGAAAAAUUAAAUUAAAAUAUGAAUUUUUUGAACGAUUAGACUUUAAAUAACUAGAUAAAUACGGGAUUAAAAUUCUAGUUGAUGAAAAUAAGAUUUAAAUGAAUAUUUGAAGAAUUAAAUUAAGACAUGGGACUUUUGAAAAAUUACUUAAAGACCUAAGUUUUGAAAAUGGGAUUUAAAGUUUAGAAUGUAGAAAAAUGCUUUGAGUCCAAUAUAAAUUAAUUUAUACAAAAGUUUUUCAUAUAUGGUGAUUUAGACAUAAUUUAAAGAUGGGAAGGUGAAAUAUAAAUUAUUUUGUGUUUUGAAAGGAUAUCCAACCUUAAUAAUUUGUCCUUUAAUCGUCUUCAAGUUGAGUUAAAUAAAUUGGUAUAAAUAGAAUAAGAUAACAAAUAAAAAUGAAUGAUUGAAUUAAUUAAUUAUGGAUAUUAGAGAUUUUUAAGAGAAUUAUUUAGGAUUUGGGCAACCUAAUGGGCUAAGUUGAUGUGGGCAUGGGCCAAUGAGGGUGGCUAGCAUAGGGGGCAUGGGGCCUUUCAUCAACAUGCUUGGGUUGGGCUCCAACUCAAGCCCAAACCCGUCACCAAGAGCAUAGGUCUGGGCUCCAACUUAAGCCCAAGGCACCAUCACCAUAAAAGCUUGGGCCUGGGCUCCAACUUAAGCCCAAGGCACCAUCACCAUCAAAGCUUGGGCCUAGGCUCCAACUUAAGCCUAAGUUCAAGGCCAAUAUAGGCAAGCCCAAAACGUAUUUCUAUCACAAACCUGGGCUUGGGCUCAAACCUCCACCUAUGGGCAAGCCUAAAAGGCUCCAAAUCCCCUCACAGCCCACCACUCCAACCGGAUCCUUCCUUCAACCCCACUCCUUGGAGACCCUCUUAUGUUGAUGGAGAGUGCACUGAAGAUGCCUCACGUAUAGGGAGAGACACGGUUUUUUCGGGUAUGUGAGUAAUGGGCAUGCAUGAGAGAGCAUGGAGAGUGGAAUGGAUGCAUGGCGUGGUGCAGAGAGAGAAAAGGUGGUGAGGGACAUGUGGUGUGGUGUAGAGAGAGAAAAUAUGGUGAGGGACAUGUGGUGUGGUGUAGAGAGAGAAAAUGUGGUGAGGGGAUUGUGGUGUGGUGUAGAGAGAGAAAAGGUGGUGAGGAAGAAAAUGAGGGAGUUGGGUAGUGAAGGUAAGAGAUGGACGGGUGAGGAAUGGGUGGUGAGUGAAAGUGUUCAUGGGGGGUGGCCAUGCAUAUUGGAUAGGGUAUGUGAGCAUGGAAGGUUUGCAUGGAUAUGAGGGCUAGGGUAUACAAACGUGGAGAGUUUGCAUGGGUAUGAGGGUGGUGAUGUGCAUGGGUAAGUAUGGAGGUUUGAAAGGAUGGGUAUGUGUUGAUGAAUGGCAACCAUGGGGGGUAGCCAUGCAUGCAUGAUUCCCAUGCAUGUAGGUGGGUGGCUUUGGGAUUCCUAUGGAGAUGAGCAUGGCAUGGGUAUGGUGGACAGCCGGGUAUGAAAAUGGAUGGUAAGAUUAGCUUCUGUAAGUGGGUGUGAUGAAUGGAUGGGGAAGAAUAAUGGGGAGUGGGUUUAAUGGGCUUGGAAUUAAUGGACUGGGUGGCCGGAUUUAGUGAGAGAAAUGAGGCAACGGUCUGGGUACAGAGAGGUGAUGGUGUGGGGUCUAUAAAGGUGGUGGACUUGGGAAGAUCUCCACCAGCUAAUGCAGUUGGAUGGAACUACAUGAAUGCUGUGUUGGAAAAUUACAGCCUAGGAGUGACGUGCCAUGGCUAUACCAAGAGUAAAUGAAGAUAACAAAAACAAAGCACAAAAAGUGGAUUCAAGCAACGAGCCCAUACAGGCCAUGCUUCAUAUCUUAAUCAACAAGCUUAGAUGGGGGUGGGAGAAAUCAAAUGAGUAUCUAUAAAAGGGUAAAACACGGUUACAAAAUAUCUCAUGAAGGAAUCAAAAUAGGAGCAAACUAAUCUACAGCAAAACCAUUAGCAAAACAUGAACAUGGUCAGUCCUAGUCCACAAACAUCAUCUAAGAAACACCAGAAAAAAAACAUAAGAGCAUACCAGUAGAAGCUAAUGGGGAAUCCACAAUAAAGGUACCUGAAAACGCUUCUCUUCAGCAAAGUGCCGUGGAUUUCUCCCUAUUCUUGCUCUAGAAGCUCUCCAGAAAAUUCACAAAACUCCCCUACUUCUUUUCCAGCGAGCCCCCCUCUUUCUCAGACGUCUCCCCCCAUCCUCCUCUCUUGUUCACCUCAUCAGCAAGUAUGGGAGACCCCAACCACCCUCAUGGGCAGCCAUGCCUCCGGCUAGUUGUCCACGUAUCAGCUCAUGCAUGGGAAGGUCCCCCCUCUCUUCUUCCACAGAUGUCAUGCAAAAGGAGAAGGAAAGGAAAAAAAACUUCCCGGGCCCCCCUUACUUCAAAAGGGGUCUACAAAAUCAUAUUACCAUUUUUUUAGAAAGUAUUUAUUUAAAUAGUUUUUGAACAUAAUUUUUCUUUAUUUAUAAUUUAAAAUAGAAAAUAAUGCUGAUUUUCAAUUAUUUAUAAUUUUUUUAAAAAAACAAUGAAAAAUCCAAAUUGUUAAAAUAGAAUUAUUAUGGUUGCAUGAAUAGUGGUGCAAUAAAGAUAAAAAAAGCUUAUAUGAAAGGUCAUUGGGUAUUUUAGUCCAUCACUAUUUUAUAGCCUUAAAAGGUAAUAUAUAGAAAUUUGAAGGAUAUAUUGGUCUUUUAACAUCUUAUAUUCUUUCCAUCAAUUAUGGAAGUUAUAUGGACUAAAUGUUAAUUUUUGGGUCCAGUUGGGCCCAAAACACAAUUCUCCGUUAUUUUUUUAUGGUAGUAUUGAAAAACAACCUUACCAUCAUACGACCAUACGUCAAUAUACUUUCACUUCAUUGCCUUGUCAUUUUCCCCUAUAUUUUCACUUCGUUGCUUUAUCAUUUUCCCCUAAUGCAAAUUGUUCAACUCAACGACACCAAAUAAAUAGUACUGAUGUUAAGUACAACUGUUGUCCUUUGAAACUUAUGAGACUUAUGUUUAAAUCAUUGUUUUAAAAAUCGGAUCGGAUCGGCCGGUUGAAUCAUCGACUGAUGAACUUUUUAAUUCGGUCCAUCUCAAUGAAUCGUUUUGUGGUCAAACCGGCAUUGAAUCGUUCAAACCGACAGUUGAACCGUCAAAUCGGACAAACUGUCCCGGCCAGACCUUAAUUCUACAAAUAUUUGUUUACUAUUAAGAGACUCAUUAUCCAUCGGGCCCAUUCCAGACCUAAUACUUUUAAAACUGAAACUAAUUAUAAGCCCAUAUUUGGUGGUCCAAGCCACUAGGCCCAAUCCAACGACAAGAAAGCUUAUAAAACUUUUAUUUGGGUCAUGCCUCUAGGCCCAAUUUGCUGGCAUGUUUGGCUUACAAGGCAUGUUGCAAAGUAUUUAUAGAACACUUAGACAUAGAAUUCAUGUGCUUCUGAUGUGGGAUUGGGAAUGAAACUAAUUAGAGGUAAAACAUUGCCUCUUUGAGGGUUGGACUCACGAAUCUCUUAAAAAUUAAAGUUUGAACUUUGAAGUCUUUGAACCAUCGAGUAUUGCACCAUAUUUAUUAAAUGAUGUUGUUAAAAAAUAUAUAUAAUAAGAAUCUAAGAUUAAUGUUUUUAUUUCAAAUUUUUAUCAUAUAAAAUCUUUAAAGAAAUGUAAAUAUUUAAAUUCUUGUUUAAUUUUAUAAUAAUAAUAUAAUAAUAAUUAUAAAAAAUAAUAUAAAUUAAUUAAUAGAAUAAUUUUAAAACAAUAAAAUACAAAGACAAAAAUUUAAAAUUAAAUAUUAUAAAUUAAAUCUAAGAAUGAGGAUAUAUUUAAAAUAUGUAAUAUUACAUAUUUCUAUUUAAUAAAAUUUAAAAUGUUAAACUUUAUCAUUUAAUUUAAUAUACCAAAUAUAAAAAUCAAACAUCAUUAAAAUUUGUAAUUUUAUAUAUUUUUAAUUUUAUAUAAUAUAUAAAUUAUAUAUUUAUUACAUUACCGGUUCAACCGCUGUUCAACCGUCGAUCCGACCAGUGAAUCGUGAACCAUGAAUCGUGAACCGAUAAUUUUUUCGAUUCAAUGACCGGUCCGAUUAUGAAAACAUUGGUUUAAAUUGAUCUCUUUGGUGCCAUGUAGGAGUCAUGUCAUGGAAGCAUAUAUAUAUAUAAUUCUUUUUUUAAAAUUUUAGUUAAAGUCUUAAUUGGUAAAUGAAGUUUUAUUUUUUGAUUGAAGGCGUAGUUGCUAACUGAGACAUCAAUUUUUAAACUAAAACCGCAAUUGUCAAUUGAGACUUUAUUUUUUAACUGAAACCUUAAUUGGUAACUAAGACUUUAUUUUUGAACUAAAACCUCAAUUACCAACUGAUGUUUCAGUUAUUUUUUUUUUUACUUUAAAAUUUAAUUAAAAACUAUUAAAUUAUAAUUUAUUAUUAAAGUUAAAAAUACAUACUUUAAUAACAAAUUAUUUAUAUUUAAACUUAAGAAUUUAGUAUUACUUCAACAAACAUAAAUUGAUAAAUAGAAAAUAUUAUAAAUGAAUAUUUUAUUUAUUAAUAAAUUAAUAAUUUUAAAAUAAUAAAAUUUAUAUAGCAUAUAAAUAAGAUAUAAAAUUGUAUAAUUUAUUAAUUUAAGAUAUUAAUUUAUUUGUAUUAUGACAAAUUUAUCUUUAUCAAAAUAAUAUUAUACACUUAAGCCGCAGUAGCCAAUUGAAGCUUCAAUUAAUAUAUAUAUACUAUUAAAUCACAACUUAUUAUUGAAAUUAAAAAUAUAUACUUUAAUAAUAAAUUAUUUAUAUUUAAACUUAAGAAUCUAGUAUUACUUCAAUAAACAUAAAUUAAUAAAAAAUUACGAGUAUGUCUUAUAUGACCUAAAUAAUGGCAAUAAAUUGUAGCAUUGGUCAUAAUACUAAACAUCAAUAUGGGCAUCAGGACCUUUGUCUUGGGCAGUAGCAUAUUCGAAAUGGAUAAGAAUUAUUCCAUAAUUCCCUAAAUACAAGCUUCUAACUAACGGUUUCUCCAUUGACAAUUUUGACAAACACAUGGAAAAAAAAAUAAUGAAAGGCUACUAAGGAAGUUUCCCGGAGUUCCAAUAACAUCACAUCUAAAAAGACAAGUGAACUAAUUCUAUUCUAUAGUUCUUAAAAAUUGUUUUUAAUUGUUUUUAAGAACAAAAUUAUGUUUGAGAAUUCAGAUAUGAAAUAAAAUUUGCUUAAUUUAUUCUUCAUAAAAUUACUACAUACUUAUAUACAAUACAAAAAUUUAUAAAAUAUUUUUAGAAAACUAUUUUAAAAAAUAAUUUCUAUCCGUGGUCCUAUUAUCCCAUUAGUGGGCAAGCAAAUUUUGGGUUAUACUAGUAUGUCACUUUACCCUACAACACUUAAAUACUAGAAAGGGUCAAUCCCGAUCUACCUUUCUAACAUCACUUAAACAAUGAGGGUCAAACUUAAAACCUUAGGUUUAUCGUUGAAGGAGACUGCUAUUGAGAUACACUCUAACAAGAUUCAAUCUAAAUGAAAAUAUUUUCUAAUAUAAGUAGUAUGUUUCAAUGUUGUUAUUAAAGACUUUGUGGGCAUCUACUAGACAAUCCAGUUUGGUGUAGUCAUGGAGAAAUUUGUAGGACUAGUUUUUGGUUUUGAGAAAAGCCUAACUCUAAGGUUACUAUUGCCUUUGCAUGGAUUUGCUUGAGUUUUUCAACGUUGCCACAUUUUCCCUACAGGAAAUGGAAGGUUUUGGUGUUCACCUAUAUAUCACUAUUUGUGCGCAUUCAAAAGUGCUCUUCCACUUUAUUCACAAGUCACAACCCAUCUAAUGGUAAUACUCUUGUUUGGAUGCUGAGAAACUCUUGUCUGGUCCUCUAACAAAAAUGCAAAGCUAGUUGAACAAAUUAAAUUAAAUAAAUAAAAAUAAAAAUACCACAUUUCCCCAGUAUCUUUAUUUUUCACAUAAUUAAAUUAAAUAAAAAUCAAACAUUAGUAGUUGAAUUCAUAUUUGUUUAUAGUAAGCCACAAUCUAAAUUUGACCAUGUUACAUCCUAACUAUGAUAGCUUUUAAAAGAAAAAGAAAAUUGCCUUUUGUCAUCUACAUAGUACUUGGCAAUACAGGAUAUAAAUUAUAAUAGGAGUUAUAAAACUUUAGAUGAUAUCAUGGAAAUGAAAUUAUUCCACUUACACUUGAAAUGAGUCUACUUUACCAUUAGCCUACUUGGCCAGGUAGUUCCAUUUCAUUACCAUCGCAUAUGAUAUCACUCUGCUCCAUUGCAUUUGAAGAAUCAAUUUGUAAGGUUCCAUGAAGCUCAAAAAUUAAUUUUAAGUCCAUUCAUGAUUAGGUCAUGAAAGGAGUGGGGUGAUGAAUAGAUACAAAAAAAAAAAAAAAAAAAAGAACUUCAAUAAGACCACUUGAAUUCUAUAUUGACCAAAAAACUUCGGAAAAUCAGCAAAUAGUCAAAUAGUCAAACAGAGUAAGUCAGCAAAUAGUUUCUUCAAUAUCCAAAAUAUUGUCAAAUAGUUAUCCUCAUCAGGAAUGGAAAUAAGUUAACAAGUGAUCUUGUAGUUCAUGUCAUCCUCAAUUUGGAAAUAUAGAAGACGGUUUUUUUUUUUUUUUUUUUCUAUUUCUCAAUUUUGUUUUAGAAACUUGGAAGAGAGAAAAUCAAUUUAGGUGGUGUUUUUUUUUUUUAAUAAAAAAUUUCCUACUCUAAUUUUAAAAAUCCACUCGUGGAUUUUUGUAUAAAUUGCCAUUGUUAGAGAAAUAAGAAAACAAUGACCAUGUUGAGAAAUCGAGAUUACGGGAUGGGAAAGAAGAGGAAAAAAACUUUACAUAAUAAAAAGGCAAAAGGAAGAUGAGGACCAACCUCAACCUUGAUGCUUUGCAACUCCAACAAUGUUUCUCUCACAAUGACCCACUAGUGAGGCUAGGGUUUGAAGAGAAAAACUGGACAAAGCAACCAUGUGAUAGGAAGCAAAUGGGAAAGUAAACAAAAAUAACAUAAAAAAAUGGUCUGUGCUUAUGUGGAUAGAUGAGGGCUAUUUUGAAUAAUUGUUUUCGAUGAAGCCCAAUCUUAACAUUAAGUAUAAGAAGAAGCCCAUUUUAGCCCAAAACUCAGCUGCUCAAGGCAUAAUGCGCUGUCAUCAUUGCAUUAAAGGUCCACCCACAUGUUGUGUACCUAAUUUUAUUUUAUUUUAUUUUAUUUUUUCAAGGGUAGUAUAGAAAAACAACCUUAAAUUAGGCUACCUUACAUCUAUUUAUUUUCACUUCGUUGUCUUAUCAUUUUCCCAUAAUGCAAGUUGUUCAACUCAAUAACACCAAAUAGUUAGUACUGAUAUUAAGUGCAACUGUUGUUCUUUGAAUGGCCACUAUGUUCAACAACUAGUCUCAAGCCUUUACAUGUGAAAUAAAAUUCCAACUUUUAAAUAAAGAAAGAAAUAUGAUAUGGUAAAAAAAAAAAAAAAUCAAAUUAUGUAUAAAGAAAUACUUAAAAAUGGAUAAGCUAAUGUUUUGUCAAAGAACUAAAAAGAAAGAAACUUUUGGAAGAAUGAACUCAUUCUCAUUGAUUGAUUGUGAUAGUAUAAAGGAGUUUACAGAUUGAGAGAGAGUAAUACAACAAACUCUAACUGGUUUAGUUAUAGAUUGUUGUAUUUAGUAACUAAUACUAAUAGCUUAAUGAACUAUAUAUCCUAACACGCUUCCUCAAACUUAAGGUAGUGAAAUCCUUUAUUCUAAGUUUGUUUUUGAAAUUGAAGAACAAUGAACUUGACACUGCCUUGGUGAGUAUGACUGCAACUUGAUUUUGAGUAGGAAUGCGUCUUACAUCAACUUGUUUGGUGAGAACUUUCUUUCAAAUAAAGUAUAAGUCCAACUCUAUGUGUUUAGUGUGUGAAUGUUGGAUUAGGUUGGUUGCAAAUUGGAUUGUACUUAGAUUAUUAUCAUGAGACAACACAAUAGUCAAACUUGUUUGAAUAGUAGUCGGUUUGACUAUGGGGCUAAAAGUUUCUACAAAAUUGAAACCAACCACUUGGUGAUAUCCUUUAGCUACUAACUUAGCCUUAUAACGUUCAAUUGUUUCAUCUUAUUUCUCUUUUAUUUUGCAGACCCACUUGUAGCCUAUAGACUUUCUAUAAAUUGGUAAUGAGAACAAACACUAAUUUUUAAUUCUCUGUAAGGCUUGGAACUCAUCCUUCAUAAUAGCAUGCUAAGAUAGUUGUUGAAGAGCCUUAGUACUAGAAGUAGGAACACUGAUGGUGACAAAUACUUGAGGCUUAAAUAUACUAUUCUUAGACUUGGUGGUCAUUUGAUAAGUAUUACCUGCAUUAGAAAUAGUAGGUAAUGGUGUAGUAAUAGUAGAAUGGUUAAGAUCAGAUAUAGGAAAGGAAACGUUAACAUCAAGUUUUGUAGAUUGAAUAACACCAUCAAUUCUAAGAUUAGAAAUAGAAAAUCUAUGAUCAAUAACAUAAGGCUAUGAGAGAACAAGUUUGAGGGGUAUAGAAGUAGAAGAAAGAAUAGAAAAAAUGUAGAUUGAGUAGGAUUAAAACAAAUAGAUUGAGUCAGAGAGGAAGAUUGUGCAAAAGGAAAAACAUGCUUAUCAAAGUUAACAUCACGAGAUAUGAAGAUUCUUCCAAAGGUAUCAAGACAUCUGUAACCCUUAUGAUUUAAGCUAUAACCUAUGAAUAUGCAAGGAAUAGAUCAAAAUUGGAGCCUGUGAUGAUUGUAUGGUUUAGUAUUAGGAAAGCAUAGGUAGCUAAAAACUUUGAGUUAAGAGUAGGUAAGUGGUAUUUUGAAUAGAAUUUCAAUAAGAGACUUGUGUUGUAGAAUUGUGUGGGAGUUCAAUUUAUUAGAAAAACAAUUGUUCUAUAAGCUUCAUCCCCAAAUUUAAAAGACAUCGGGGCUUGUGUAAGUAAGGUUAAACUAUUUGUAAUAAUGUGACGAUGUUUUCUUUUAGCCAAACCGUUUUGUUCACGAGUUCUAGAACAUGGAUUCUAUGAACAAUACAUGAGGAGUUAGAAAAUCAGUGAAAACCCUAUACUCCCUUCUCCAAUUAGUUUGGAUCAAUUUUAUUUUAUAAUCAAGUUGGAUUUCAACAAGAUUUUUGAAAUUUAAAGACUCAAGUACAUAAAGACAAUCUUUGAGUUCUAGAUGUUUAUUAUUCUCUAAUGCUAUGGUAACAUUUCCUACUACUUGCACAACUAUUCUCACAAAAGAUGUGAAAGUUCAGUACAUUUCUCCCUUAUUUAGCUCUCUCAUUGGUUUAAACUCCUAUAAAGAAUUAGAAAUAUGGUCAGUGGCCCUAGAAUCUAUCCACCAUGAUUGGAGGAAUCCACCACUAAACAUGAGUCAACUAAAAGUGAAUGGGACAUACAUUUCUUUUCUUCAGAUAGUCAAGACAUUCCUUCUUCCAGUUGUCUUUCUUUUCACAAAUGAAACACUUGCCCUUUUUUUUACUCUUUCAUUUCCUAGCCUUGGUCUUUCCCUAUUUGGAUUUCUUGGCAAUGUUCUUCUUAUUAUUAUUAUGGGAAGAACUUGAAGAAUCUUUUAUUGCCAUAAGAACACUUAUAGAAUCCUUAAGAAUUCCCUUAACCAUCUAAAACUCUUUCAUCAGUUCUAGCAAGCUUAACAUUAACUUAUUCAUAGUGUAAUUGAGCUUGAACUACUUGAGGGAGUCUAGUAAGGUCUCUAAGAUCAUAUUGACCUAAGUUUUCCCAUCAAUUUCAACUCCAAGGAUUUCUAUCUCAUUAAAGAAUUCAAUCAUAUGAAUCAUAUGAUCUUUAAUGGGAGUUCCUUCUAUCAUCUUAGUGUUCAUGGUGGUUCUUAGGACAGCUUGCCUAGCUAGCCUACUUUUAUCACAAACAUCUCCCAUAGGCUUAAGAGAAUCUCAUAGGUAGUGGCAAUGCUCAUGUGUUAUUGUUGUAACACAUUAUUGAGAGACCCAAGUAUAAUACAUUGAGUCUUCUCAUCUACCCUUUGCCAUUGGAAAUGAAUAUCUUUCUCUUCUUAUGUGGAAAAUUCAUAACAAGUAGGUGGAGUAAGCUCUUAAGUUACCCGUUUCAGCUGUUUAGCUGUGAGCAUUAUGCCCAAGUUUCAUUUUUAGUCAACAAAUAAUUAGGUCCAAUCAAUUUAUUAUCAGUGAGAAUCAAAGUGAUAAGGUUAUAAGACAUGAUUCCUGUAUAAACAAAACAUUCUAUGCAUUAAUAAGGAAACUAAGCCUCUAAGGAAAACAUGGUAAUUAAUUUAGCAAAAAUGUAGUGUUCUCAAACAACACAUAUUCAUGCAAGGUAUUAUAGUACCAUAAGAAUCAAACCUACUUUAGGCAAGUCAUGGCUCUUGUUACUAAGGUAGAGAGACCUCUAUCUAAUUAAUCAACCUGCUUUAAACCUCAAAAGGUUAUUCUAAGGUAGUAAUUAACAUAUUUUUAUGUUGAACCCUUAGCGCAUGCAAGUAGAACCACUUUAGGUGAUUCACCACUUCAUGUCUAAGUAUCUAAGUAAGAUCUUUGACAUCAAUUUUACAAAGUAAAAUGUUCCAUCUUACAAACUGUUGUCCCAACUAUUGACUAGAUGGUUUUUUGGGGUUGAUCGAGGCUAGAGUUGACUCUAUGUCUUUAAGACAAAUUUCAUCAUGCUUAGGUGCUUAGGUGCUUACGGUAUAAGUAAUUGUCUCACAGGAUACAAUGAUCAUUUUUUUAUGAUAGUAGCACUCUAAAUCACAAAAAACAAUGAAUCAUUUGGUGAUCUAUACUCUUUUGAAUACCAAAAAAAAAGAAAAGAAAAACUUAGUAGAAAAAAGAAAAGAUUAAACUUGAAGUUUAAGUAGUCUCCAUUUUGAUCAAGCACAUGAUGUAAUUAAAGUUGAAGUUCCACUAUACAAAGAUAUUUAAUUAUCAAGAAUAAAAAAUAUCAAUAGUGAUUAACAAAUAUUUAUGAUUCAAUCUACAUCAAGUCUUGUAGAUAUAAUAUAUUUCUCUAGUUCACAAACUUGAAGUAUUGCGAAUCAUGAUAAUAUAUCAAGUAAAUAAACAAAAAUCAUAUGCUCAAGCUACAAUUAAAACAAGGCCAAAGGAAACAAAUAGAAAAUAGACGAAAAGUUCAAAACCUUUAAGGCCUAUUACUUAUGAAGAUCAAUUGAUUAGGCAUAUGCCCAAGGAUUUCCUAAGGAAUUCAAACCUAAGAGAAUCUUGAGCUUUGGUAAGAAUAUGUGCCAAUUGAUGUUUAGUGAGGACAAACUCUAGAGAGACUAUCAUGAUUUUUUAAAAAUUAUAUUUAUUCUCUUAAAAUAGAAUUUUAUGCAAAUAAGAAAAAAAUUUAUUUUUACAAAGAUAAAGAAAAUAAGAGCUUCUUUCCAAAAAUAAGAUAUUUAUUUUUAAAAAUCUCAAUAAUUUGAGAAGAUUUUAAAAAUAAAGUCUUUAAGAAUUAAUUUUUGCAAAAGGAAAGAUGAUCUUUUAAUCUUGUUCAUAAAAUCCUUAUUCUUCCUUCUCCAACUUUGCAAUAUUUAUAAGGGGAAUCAUGCAUUACACCAUUUGCCACAAAGUAUUUUUAUUCAAUAAUGUUUGUAUUUUAUCUUGAGAGAUUUUUUAUUUGUUUUUAAGUACUAAAUUCACUCAUCAAUGGUUUGAAAUAAAUGAGGUUUUAAGAACAACUAUUGCAUGAUUUUUCCUUCUAAUUUAAGUUAUCACUGAAGUAAGUGCAUGGAUAUAAUUUCCUUCUAUUGGAUCAUGAGGAUAUUGAUUUUGUUGCAUUCCAUAGUUUUGUUUAAAUUAGUGGUUGACAUGCAUAAUUAAAUAAUAUAAUGCUAUAGAUGACAUUAAAUGAUUAAAUAGUAUAUUAUUUCUCAUUUAUUAAGAAUUUAAAUACACUUUCUUUUACCUAUAGAAAAGGGGUUGAUAUAUCAACCAAAAAAAACUUAUAGUAUAACUUAAAAAUUGUUCACAAUUUUUAUUAAAUAAUAUUAUAUAUCUAUGACAUGUACAUAAAGGCUCAUAAGGUGGUCUCGUGAUUUAUUAUACAAAUUUAAAGUGUCCUAUAUGACUUGAAUUGUUAUUCAUCAUAUCUACACGACUCCAUGCUUAGCACUUUAAAAAUUCUUGCAUGAAAAGUAAUAAUAUGAAGUAAAAAUGUAAAAUAAAAAAAUAAGCAAAAAAAUAUAAAUAAAUUUUUUCUUAUGGUUUGAAAAGUUAUAUUUAUAUUUAUAUUAUGAGGCUGCUUUCAAAUCUUAAGAAUAAGAAUUCUUUUAUUAACAUAAAAAUUAUUUUAAUCAAGACUUAAUUUGAAACAUUUGGUUUUGUAGGUACCAAGAAACCUUUAUACUUGAAUUUUAUAAAUAUAUUGAGAAAUAUCGGUAAAUAUCUUAACAAAAAAAUCAAUAAAACGGAAAUUGAUGAAAGCACAUAAAAAUUUUAGAAAAAAUCUAAAAAUAUGAUUAAAAAAAUAAUAAUACUUAUUGAAGUUGUUUUAUUGAAUAAAUUGACAUAUAUGCAAUAAUAUACAAAUUUGAAAACACAUUAAUAAAUUUGUAGCAUUAGACAAUAAUAAAUGAAUUUGAAAGCACAUUAAUAUUAAAAUGAUAAUAUAUUUAGUUUGAAUAUAUUGAAAAAUAAAAAAGGAUGAUAUUUAAAUAAGUAUUUUUUAUUUAUAAAUUUACAUUUAUCUUAUAUGAAUUAGUAUAUAAAAUAUAUAAUAAAAUAAUUAAAAUUAACUGAUUUAUAAUAAUUUUAUUUUAAUUAAUUUAUAAUAUAAUAUAUAUUAAUAAUUUAUCAAAGAUGUUAUGACUUAUAAUAUAUAUAUAUAUUCAAUACGCAUAUUUAAACCAAAUGAAGCAUUGGUUCAACGACAUAUACUAUUCUCGAUUUGUUUAAGGACGUUUUACAGUUGUGGUCUUAUUGAAGUAAUUUUUUUUAGUGCAAGUGUUAUAACAAUCCCACAUCGGAAUUCAAAAGAAAAACAACCUCUAUAUAGAAGAUGUUGCCCCUUUCACUGCUACGUGAAUUAGUGGUCGAGCCAAUAACACCGAACCAUAUUUUGGUAUGUUUGAAAACACCAAUCUGCAAAAAGUGCAAAUAUCUGAGGUAGAUCAAGUUGUACAUAAAAUUAAUAAACUUCAUUUUUCUUGUUUUCAUGAUAAGUUUCACUUUUCAUAAAAAUAAAAGAAAAAAUUAUAAUAAAAAAAUACUUAGCCAUCGUUUGGAUAAUAUAAUUCUCUUUUUUAUUUUUAAAAGUAGAAAUUUCAGAAAUUGUUAUAUAAAAGAUACAUUUUCAUAAUAUUUUUUUUUUCAUUAAUUUUAAAAAUCAUUAUAUUUUGAAUGUAAGCUCUAAAAGUACUUGUAUUUAUAUAUUAAAGUUACUAUAAUUUUAUAUUUCUAAAAAUAGAAAAUCAGAAUAAACACUUAUUUAUUUGUUUAUAAGUUUUAUUUAUUUUAUAUAAAUAAAAUUUUUAAAAAUAAUUAAAAUUUUAAAAUAAAGCAUGGGACUGCCUCAAUACUCCAUUUGGAAUUAAGAACAAGAAUGAAAAUGCAUUUAAAUAGUAAUAAAGACAAGGGUGGAAAGGUGAGCCACCUAUAUCCGAGUCUUUACAUCCCUAAAUGUAAAGCUUUACUUGUGGGCAUAUUUUUCUUAAUGACUGUUGAUUAGGAGAUACUCUAUCUGAUUGAUAAAUUAUUUAAGGGAAAUUUGAGGGUAUUAAUUCCAUAUCUACUAAACCUAUAAUUUCGACCAUGAAUGUGUAUAGUAAAAUCUAAAUUGUUGGAUGAUGGUAUAAACAAAUAAGAACAAAUGAUAUCAAAAUACAUAAGAAUGAGACCAAAGUAUAAAUGAAUGAAAGUUGGAUGUAAAGUAAUAUGAAUAGAUUGUAUAUAUAGCAAUUUGUAAUUAGUUUCAUUCUAUGGUAGAUAACAAUUCAAUACCGUGAUGAGACUCAUUAUUUAUGUGGUUGGUGUAGGAGAGACUAAUUUUGUUUUGAGAAGGGUAGUAAAAAUGAAAACACAUUUACUAAAUUUCUUAUAUAAAAUAGUUUUAUCUAAAUUUGUUUUGAAAAUAGUUUGUUUUUAAGAACACAUUUUAUAUUUUUCUAGUUGUUUUUUGUAGAGGAUUUUCAAUAACAAUUCAAAAUACGAAGAACACUCUAAUUUUUUUGUAUUGUGUAUAAAUUUAUAAUAUUUUCACAAAGAACAAACUCAAAAAAUUGUUUAAAGGAGAUCCUCUUUUAAGAAUUAUCAUCAAGAACUACUUUUAGAUAACUAUUUGAAAAGUAAAAUAAAAUAAAAUAAAAAUCUUUUCCUAUCCCAUCUGGUUGGUAGUUUACAGUUUGCACAGCGAGAGGGGCAAUUUAUUUUGUCUACCUCUAUCCUCCAUAGGCUGAAAAUUAGAACACACCAGAGCUUGGCCCCAUACCUGGUCCUAAGUGCUUUAAAAUCACAUCACGCACAUGCAUCUUAGCCUUUGAAGCUCUUCCAUCACUGCAUUAAUAAGAUGUUAUGACCAUGGUUUUAAAAAUCGGAUUGGACCGACCGGUCACAGUUCCGAUCGGUCAAUUGGGUUGGAAAAUAACAGAAUUGAACCGGUUGAACCGACGGUUCCCUCUGAAUCGUUUGGUUUAACUUUUUUUUUUUUUUUUUCCCAUUGUCGUCGGCACCGACCUGCUAUCACUGGUCACUGGUCGGUCGGACGUUGAUCCCCCGCUGGCAGGACUCCACCCCCCUGGGUGCUGGAAACCCCGCCCCUUCUCCCCCCUUUGCUGGAAAGCCCCCACCCCCGCACUAGAAAAGCCACUCACCUCUUCUUCUCCUUUUUGGCGCCCCUUCUCCUCAUUUUCUUUCUAGAUUUUUUUAUUUUUUAUUUUUUACCUCAUCUAGUUAUUAUUUUUUUUUAUAUUUAUUAUUUUUUUACUUUAUGAUUUUAAAACUUAUGAUUUUAAUUUAAAUUAAUGAAAACAUUAUAAUUUUAAAUAAAAAUUUGAUUGUAAAAUAAGUUUUUUAUUUAAAAAUGAAUUUUAAGAUUCUGAAUUUUAAAUUAAAAUUAUGAUUUUAAUUUAAAUUUCUAAUUUGAAACUAAUUUUCUGAUUUUCAAAUAAAAUUUUAAUUUUUAAAUAAUAUAUAAAUUAUUAUUUUUAUUUUUAUAAUUAUUUUAAAUUUUAAUAAUUUAUAAAUUAUAUAUUUAUGACAUCACCGAUUCGACCGUCGGUUUGACCGGUGAACCGUGAACCGAUUCAAUGACUGGUCCGAUUCUAAAAACAUUGGUUACUAUUGUUUUUCCUUGAAAAGGAAACCUAGAAUUCUUUGAAGUACUUGGCCAUUCCUACAGAGUUUUGGGGCAAAAUAGCCUUUUUAUAGAAAAAAAAAAAAUCAUGUUUAACCUUUUUACAAAACUUAUGUCCAAAUUAACCUCUUUACCAUCACAUAGAAACCAUGUCAUAAAAAAUAUAUAUUUUUUUUCAAAAUUUAAGUUAAAGUCUCAAUUUCCAACAGAGACUUCAUUUUUAAAUUGAAACCACAAUUGACAAUUGAUGCUUCAUUUUUAAAUUGAAGCCUUAUUAGUUAAUUGAGGCCUCAUUUUUUUAACUGAAACUGCAAUUGUCAAUUGAGGUUUCAUUUUUUAAUUGAAACCUCAAUUGCCAAUUAAUAUUUCAAUUAGUUUUUUUUCUUUAAAAUUUAAUUCAAAAAUAUUAAAUUACAAAUUAUUGUUGAAAUUUAAAAUAUAUACUUUAAUAAUAAAAAAAUUAUAUAUUUAAACUUAAGAAUCUAAUAUUACUUAAAUAAAGAUAAAUUGAUAAAUAUAAUAAUAAAAGAAUAUUUUAUUUAUCAAUAAAUUAAUAAUUUUAAAAUAAUAAAGUUAUAUGACAUAUAAAUAAGAUAUAAAAUUAUAUUAAUUAUUAAUUUGAGAUAUUUAAUUUGUUGUUUUUUUAAGAUAAUAAUUUAUUUGUAUUUUGAAAAAUUUAUUGCUAUUGAAAUAAUAGCAUACUCUUAAAUUUCCAUAUAUAGAUUUUUUUUUUAUUUUAAAGCAUAUGUUUAUAAUUUUACGUAAAGAUAGACUAUUAUUUGUGCACACAAAACAUACAUGCCUUGAAAAUACAUUAAAAAAAUUAGUUAAUGAAAUUAAUUAGAAAAAGUCUACUACAAAAUGUUAUUUUUAAUAGUUUCGUCAAAGUCACAAAAAAUCUUCACUAAACAUUUAUAUAGUGGGAAAAAAAGAGUAUAUAAUCUUACAUGCCUUCAUAAAGAGAGAAUCAAUGUAUAACUGACACUCUCUUCCUUUUUGGUUGCCCCUUUCUAAUUGUAGUAGGUACUACCAAGGAUAAAAAUAUCGGUAAUCAUGGAUAUAUCAAUGCUUCGAUUUUACGGAUAUAUCGAAGAUAUAUCGACGGAUAUUUUGGGAAAAAAUUUCAAUAGACUUAAAAUUGUUAAAAACUCAUGAAAAUGCAAGAGAAACCUCAUAAUAAAAUAAUUAGAAGUAUAAUAGAUAUUUUAAAAUUGUUUUAUUGAAGAAUUUGAUAUGCAUAUGACAUAAUUUGAGAUAUUAGAUGUAAUUAUAUCAUGUCGAUCUAUAAGAAAUGUUAAUUUUGUACUUGUUCUCAUUAUGAAGUCACAUAAAAUACUUCAUUUCAUUAAAUAUCAAUAAUUUGUACACAUUACAUUGCAAUGUCCUUUUAGUACCAAAAUGAGGAUUGAUGUGGUUCAAUGGGAUUGAUAGAUGAAGGAACCUCGUCUUGCUGUUGGAGACAAUAUUGGUACCAACUCAAUGAGCCUCAAUAAUAUUGGUUAAAAAUUCUAACAUGCCAUGUAUAUAUCUCUUGAGUCCUGUCCACUGCCUCUACAUGGAUAGGAUACUCAAAGUUCACCCAUGUGUUAAUGCCAAAUCCUUCUUCCAUCUGAUAUGGAACUUGGUAUGGCAUUUGUGUGGAAGGGGAACAACGCGACAUACCAUACUCUUCAUUGAUUGAACUUGAAGGUUGACCAUAACUUAUCACAUGAGGAAGGUAGACAUUAGCCUCAUUCGAGGAGUCACUAAAUUGAGUCCCUAUACUCAUAGAUUCAAAACUCCUUGAAAGUAACUCCUCGUUAUAUGGUUCCAUUGUUCGUUCUCUUCAUCUAUAGGGCUUCCUAAUAGCUCUUAUGCUUGGACCAACUUUUCUAGAGCCAUGGUCUUCAUCAUGUGUGCAGUGUGUGAAAUCAUUUUCAUAGGUAAAUUGGUUGAUUGGAUAUUGACUAUGUUGACGUUCCCAAAUAUUUCCUCCCGCAUUAUCACUUCCAUCACCAGUUCCACCUCUUGGACCAUCGUAACCAGAAGCAGAAGUACCUACAACACUAGGUCUAUUAUUAUGGCUAGUACUUGUGGAAUCAAUCUCUUGGUGGGAAUUCAAUGCCGCUUGAAAUGAAUCAUCAGUACCUUUGCUAAAACUUUCAGAGUGAACUUCUUCAGACAACACACGUUCAACAUUAACUCCAAAUUCUCGAGCAUGAGCGACAAUUCGUGGAUCAAGAUUUCCAACUUCGUCAUCCAAGUGUAUAGGCCUAACCCAUUGUAACAAUUGAUUAUCUUCUUUUUUACCUACCUCGGUUGAAAUGUCAAAAAGAUCAAGGUAAUCUUUUUCAGCAACUCGAUCAUUUUCUGUCUCUAUAUCGUGUAACUUUAGCCUCAUAUUAUAGUAACAAAAAACUAUUUGCUCUAAUCGAGGGUAAGUUAAACGAUUUCGUUGCUUUGUGUGGAUGAGAGCAAACGUGCUCCAAUUUCACUCAUAGGCAAAGGAUGACGCAGUUUGUGAGAGAAUUUUGAUGGCUAACUUUCUCAAUAUAGGUGUUUGAUUCCUAUGUAUAAACCACCAUUCAACUGCAACCAAUUUGAUAAUCAUAUAAAUACUUAUGCGGUGAAUUUACAAUAAUGAUAAUCAAAUUUUUCCUAUAAAGACUCAUCGGGCACCAUGGUUGACCUUGCUGUAAGCGUCACUCGAUCACCAAAUCCUCUUUUUGCAUCUCGAAAAAACACAACUAUAUAUUCAACAUUUAAUUUGCUAAUAUCAUAUUUGUUAGUAAACGUUCAAAUAAAUUGAUGAAUGAAAUUAUUGUUUUAUUGACAAAAAACAUCAUGGACUGCUUGAAGUAGUUCCGGAUCACUACCAACUCCACGCCUAUAUUGAAAUCUUGGAUUCAAGAAGUAUGCUACAAUAAAAUUAAGUAGAGUUAGUAUUUUGUUAAAGAAAAUUAAAUACAUAGUAAAAACUUAUAAAAAUAGAUAGUACUUAAGUACCUAUUGCAUGAAGUGGAUGUUUUAGUGUUUUCUCCCAACGAUUUUUUAUUAUUUUGAAGAUCCAAUCUCCAGCUCCUUGACGAAUAAGGUUAUCUUUCAUCACGUGCAUAGGCUUGAACACAAAUGGCAGUGUGGGAACAACUUCAAAAUCCAUAAGUCAAAGCACCAUGUAUAAUGGCUCAUAUAAUGAAACUAUAUUUGUCACUCUGUCCUAAUACAUAUGGUCAAACAAUAAUUGCUCCAAAUCUUGUUCAAUUUUUGUUCGACUAAGCUUGUGUUGUGCCCAUUCAUCACUCAUAAACAAUUUUUUUAAAUCAACCAUUUUUUAAGAAGACUAUCAAGAGCAAUAUAAUUGGUAGCAAACCUUGUAUCUUCUAGUCGAACAAUGUCUCCACCACAAUACUUUCUCAUUUGUGCAAGUAACCAACCAUGGUUGUAAAUGAAGUUAGUUAUCUUGCGAGUAUUGUUUAUCACAUCUAUAACACUGGGUCUUUUACCAAUGUCUUCAAAGAUUAAGUUGAUGCAAUGUGCCGCACACAGAGUCUAAUAUAAGUUAAACCUUUUCAUCAAUUGUUUCCCUACUUUCAUGAAUGACGACCCAUUAUCUAUGACAAUUUGGACCACAUUUUCUUGACCGACUUAUUUGAUAAUAGUCUUCAAUAACUCAUAUAUAUACUUGUGAUCUUUGAUAUGGUUCAAUGCAUCGACUAACUUAAGGAACACCGUGGUCCUUUUUGAAUAAACCAUGAAAUUAAUAAUACUUAAUUUCGUGGGCCCUGUCCAUCCAUCUGACAUUAUUGUGCACCCAUAUGUCUUCUAUUUUUCUCUUUGCUAGUUCACAUAAGCUUCCAUUUCUUUGUACUCCAUUUCCAAGUACUUGUUCUUUAUUUCAUAUGGAGAUGGUGGUUCGAUUUCCAUUCCUACAUUUCAUAUAUAAAAAAUAUGUAAAACAUGUCACAAAAGACUAUACUUACUAAAAGUAUGAAACAAUAUAACAAUUCAAAAAUUAGUAAUUACCUGUUUGUUGUGCACUAAUAAUCAUAUUCUUGAAGUGACGAGACUUUGCUUUUUGGGGUGCGAUACUCUCAUAAACGAAGAAUUUGCUAAUUAAGUGUGUCAUCGUUUCUUUAAUUGAACCACCCUUCAAUAUAUCUUUGAUAUUUUUUUGUCUUGCUACAAAAGACUUGUAAAGCGAAGGGGCAACAGGGGGUGAUUGGUUUGAAUGUCGCAUACUUUGUGAUUUUCGCAUCGUCGUCGGUGUACCAGUAGACCAUGAAGAUUGCCAUUUUGCAUUUGCUACCUAUAAUAUCGUCAUGUUGUUGAGGUUCCCAUUUUGAUGAUUUCGAGGCACGGAAUGCAGAUCGAUAUGCAUUCUGCUCAUCUGAGUGCAUAUCUGUCGGAUACAUAUACACAUUUUCAUCCUUAGCAUCAUCAUCAUCAUCAUUGUCUAUCAAAUGUGUUUCAUGAGUCCCCAUUGUGCCAAGUAAUUGAGCACGAAUCUCUUGAAUAUCAACAACUUUCUUUGCUUUUGUUUCAUUUUUGUCAUGCACCAUCAAUUGUAUCUCUUCUUUCACUUCGGGAGGCACUCUCAGACACUUUUUGGUGAUUUAUGCGAGUCGUUAUGCGUUAAAUGGAACUUGAAUCGCGUGAUGCCUCCACUUUUCAUCAACAACCCACAAAAAUUAUAAAUUGUUCCAUUUCUGUUCCCCUCAACUGGUGAACAAUACUUCCAAGCUGGAUCUUGCCCUGGUAUGGUAGAACCACCUUCACUAGCCAUGCUAAAUCUAUUGCAAAAGAAAUACACUUGAAUGUGAUUUCAAUGUAAACAAAAAUUAAGUCAACAUUUAAAUUGAACAUAUUGCAAUGGAAUGUGAAAAGAAAAUUAAAUAAUAAUGUAAAAUGAGCAUAUUCCAAAUAUGCGAGUCGUUAUGCGUUAAAUGGAACUUGAAUCACGUGAUGCCUCCACUUUUCAUCAACAACCCACAAAAAUUACAAAUUGUUCCAUUUUUGUUCCCUUCAACUAGUGAACAAUACUUCCAAGCUGGAUCUUGCCCUGGUAUGGUAGAACCACCUUCACUAGCCAUGCCAAAUCUAUUGCAAAAGAAAUACACUUGAAUGUGAUUUCAAUGUAAACAAAAAUUAAGUCAACAUUUAAAUUGAACAUAUUGCAGUGGAAUGUGAAAAGAAAAUUAAAUAAUAAUGUAAAAUGAGCAUAUUCCAAAUAUACUAAUUUAUUAUCUAAAUUAAUUAAAUAAUUUAGCUAAGUUAGUUUACUAAAUCUAAAUCUAUGAGAAAUCUACAAAAUAAUCAUAAAGAAUGAACAUAUUUGACAUUCCAAAUAUACUAGUUCAUGUUAAUUAAAUUAAUUAAAUAAUUUAGCUAAGUUAAUUUUUUGAAUCUAAAUCUAAUUCUAGGAAAAAUUUACUAAAUAUAAAAAUUAAUCAUAAUUGAAUAUGAAAAUAAAUCACAAUAAUAAUAAAAAUGAACAUAUUUGAUAUUCCAAAUAUACUAGUUUAUAUUAAUUAAACUAAUUAAAUAAUUAGGCUAAUUUAAUUUUUUGAAUCUAAAUGUAAUUCUAUGAAAAAUUUACUAAAUAUAAAAAUUAAUCAUAAUUGAAAAUGAAAAUAAAUCACAAUAAUCAUAAAAAUGAACAUAUUUGAUAUUCCAAAUAUACUAGUUCAUGUUAAUUAAACUAAUUAAAUAAUUAAGCUAAGUUAAUUUUUUGAAUCUAAAUGUAAUUCUAUGAAAAAUUUACUAAAUAUAAAAAUUAACUAUAAUUGAAUGUGAAAAUAAAUCACAAUAAUCAUAAAAAAUUAACAUAUUUGAUAUUCCAAAUAUACUAGUUCAUGUUAAUUAAACUAAUUAAAUAAUUUAGCUAAGUUAAUUUUUUGAAUCUAAAUGUAAUUCUAUGAAAAAAUUACUAAAUAUAAAAAUUAAUUAUAAUUUAAUAUGAAAAUAAAUCACAAUAAUCAUAAAAAAUGAACAUAUUUGAUAUUCUAAAUAUACUAGUUCAUGUUAAUUAAAUUAAUUAAAUAAUUUAUUUAAGUUAACUAGUUGAAUCUAAUUCUAACUAGAUUGAAUGUGAAAAUAAAAUUAAAUAAUCAUUUAAAAUAAACAUGUCAAUUUAUAAUUAAAUAAUCAAACUAACUUAAGUUAAUUCAAUAAAAAUAUACAAAUUAAUUACAAUUGAAUGUAAAAAUAAUAUUAAAUCAUCCAUAUUGCAAAUAUACUAAUUAAUUGAAAAUACAUGAAUUAAUUACAAUUGAAAACAAAACUAACUACAAUUUAAAACAAACAUAUCUUAAAAUGAUUGAAUGUUUGAGUAGCCUUAGAAAAAUUUGGAGUAAUGAGAGAGCAAAUGAAAAAUGAAAUCAAAUGUGAAUGAAAUGGAUGCAAAAUGGGUUAUUUAUAGGAGAAAUUUGGGCCAAAAUAGUCGUUGGAAGACGAUUUUACCGUUGAAAAAGAAUUUUGGUUGUUAGAUCGAAAUCUUGGUGAAAUCUGACCAUUGGAUCGUAAUUUUAUCGUUGGAAUCUCAUCCUAACCAUUGGAUCAAACCUAGAUUCAAUCUAGGGUGUUGGAUAGAUGACUAUUGUAGGCAAACGUGGCGGGUAGGAUAUGGGCCUUUGGAUCAAUGCAUGUGUGAUCUAGACCAUCAGAUCACGCUGGAGAGAGGAGCAUAACUUUUGCCAAAAAAUUGAUGAUUUAUCGUCGAAAAAUAGUUAAAAUAUCGGUGAUUUUCUUUCGUCUGGGCCGAUUUUUUCAUUAAAUCGGUGAUAUAUUGCCUCUCGCUGAUAAAUCGACGAUAUAUCGAUGAUUUUUUUUAUCGAUUUUCAACGAUUUUUAUCCUCUCCGAUUUUUCUCUACAAAAUAUCGUGUCAGCGUCCUUCGAUGCACGAUAUAUUGACGAUAUAUCGUCGAUAUAUCUCGACAUUUUCUUCCAUGGGUACUACAUGUGACACAUGAAAAACAUUUGUUUGUGAUGGAACUUGAAAUAAAGGUGGUUGAGGUAGAAAUCUAGGUUGAAGUAGGCCACGCCUACUCCUCGUAACGGUUGGGGGAAAAUCUAACUAAGUAGAUGUGACAGUCUCUAUAGGUAAAAGGAAAAAUAUAGAUGGCUCUAGUGGUAGUAGAACUAAUGUCCUAAACUCAGGUCCAAGUGGAAUAGCAAAGGAAACAUUUAGGUGAAAUAAAAAAGAAUCGGCAUAUGAGGUAGCGAGCAAUGAAGGUGGGUAUAAAGUGAUAGGGGAUUGAACUGAUGGUGGGUUUGAAGAGGUAAGAGGUUAUAUUGAUGGUGAGUCUAAAGAGAUAAGGGGUUGUACUGAUGGUGGGUUUGAAGAGGUAAAGGGUUGUAUUAAAGAUGUGUUUGAAGAGGUAAGGGGUUGUAAUGAUGUUAACAUUGACAAGGUGAUGAGUUGACAACUAUUAUAUGUACUUUUCCCUCAAGAAGUCGAUCAACCUCGAAUAAGUGGCAAUUGAGCAACUGUUGAUUGAGUUGGUGGCUUACCUCUUCCAUGCUAUACAUGUGGGAUACGAUAAUCCUCCAGAAUAAAGCUCAUAACAUCACUGGCCAUGUGAAUAAUAUUAAUAAUACAAGUGCAACAAGCAUCACUAUCAGAGUCUUCUAAUGUAUGACCUCCUCGAGAUAUGAUCUAUGUCAGUCUCAAUCUGUCACAUAAAAUGAUAUAUAAUUAUUUGUUAGAAUAAAUGUUAUAUACAAUAUGUAUAUAGUAUUAAAGUGGUACAAACCAAUAAGUGGGUAGAUAAGGUAGUAGCUUGGUAUUGCAUAGGUCCAACAUCAUCCAUAGGUGUAAUAAAGCGAUGUGUAAUACGACAGUACCAUGUCAUGUAUGAAGCAUGGUAGUCCAUAUGAGGCUUUAUAGGCUCCACAAUGACAAUGUGACCCCCCUAGCAUCCUAUAAUGCCACAUAACGCUCAUGAUGGAACCUCCAAUCAUACUGGGCUUGACUGUGUUGAUCUAUGGAGUGAAAGUUAGUAUAUAUGGAGGAUGUUGAUGAAAUACCUUGCAUGAGUCCAAAAUGUCGCAACACAAGCUUAGGACAAUGACACUCGACAAUAUAAAAAAAAUAUAAAUGGCAACAUCGUCUACCAAAUAUUCUAAUAAGCUAAACAAAUGUCUGGAAACAAUGAUAGUAUAUCGUCUAUGUAAGGCUGUCAUAAUACCUGAUACAUUCAAAUCUUAGUAUGUAUAUAAUAAAGUUUAAAUUAUAAUAUUAAUACUAAUAAUCUUGUUAAACAAAAUUAGUAUUUAACUCAAACCUGAUCAGAUCGUUGUUUAUCAGACUCAUCUUUAUAUAUGACCAACACAUGGUGAGGAGUGUUUGUAUGAGAUAAGGGAACCCUUCACCUACUCCAUAGUGCAUUUAUCAAGAGUCUCUCAUCUAUAGGUAUUGGUACAUGGGGAAGUGAUCACUAGAAUGACCCACAUGUACUCACUCCCAUGACUAUAAUUAAAAAUUAAACAAAAUUAUGUUGAAAUGCACAUAAUUAUGGCGAAAUUACAUAAUUAAUAAGACUUGUUAUUAUACCUAUAACAACUGUAAUGGUUUUACAAUAAUUUAUGCACUAUCUAAACUAGCUCGACAUAACUCUCUAUAAAGAUGUGCUAGUGUUGCGUUUCCCUAACUAUAUUGUGCAAUGUCAUCAAAAUCUCUUAACAUGGGUAGAAUUGCUAAUCGAAGGAUGGUUCCCUCCUUAUAUGGACAUAAUGAACCACCCACUAACAAUAAAAGAUAUGCUCAACAUGGCACUAUAACAUGACCUCAUCUAAAACGUCUUAUGGUAAGUGAGAGAAAUGGGUAGUAAUAAAACAAAUUCUAAGGGAUGUUCCACAAAUUGAUUCUUUGUCAGUCAAACUUCGAAUGACUCCUCACAAAGUGCAUGCCAAUUGAUAUCUGUAGUACCAGUGACAAGAUGACCAUGUACAUGUAAUCUAAAUAAGAUGGUUACAUCAUGUAAUGUGAUGGUCAUCUCACCAACUGGCAUGUGGAAUGUGUGUGUCUCUAGGCAUCACCUCUCCACUAGUGCAGUAGUUAAAGGCUAAUCAAGCUAAACAUGACCCACUUGAUGAAAGACAAAAAAAUCCUGAAUGUAUAAUGUAUGACCAAAUAUGAUCAUCCAAAACCCACUCUCGAGGAAACUUAUGUUGACAAGUCAAAAUAGUACCCAUAUCUGGAUCAACAAGAAUGAUGGAUGAUUGAUGAUUGAUGUCGUUGACAGGUAAGCUCGUGUGGUGUAAUAACUUUGUACAAAUUAUCUAAAAUCAACUGAUCAAUAAUGAUAAGUAGCAAGAAUGUGCGAACAUGGGAAUCCUAACUAAAACAUUUUACUACAUGUGCAAGACCCUAUUUAAAGGUUAACAUGAUAUGUGCAAGGUUUUCUAUUACUAUUUCCAAUAGAGCAUCUAGUUUUAAUGUGAAAAUUUCCCUCCACAUGAUCAUACAAAACAACCUCAUGUGUACUCACCUUAACGACUUUAGCAUUUAUCUCAACGUCAAUAUAUGGAGUGAAUUCUUCACUUGAAACAAGUCGAUUUGCACCAUGCUCUUGCUUGACUAUGAAGUAAUUGCUAAUGCAAUAGAAAUUUAACUAAACUAAAGUUGUUAUUGGUAAGUUAUGAGUUCCUUUAAAGACACCAUUAAAAACUUCAGACAUUUUAGUUGUCAUAAUCUCAUAUCUCCACUUGCCAUCAUGUGAGAGUGCCCAUUUUUCAAGAAGAAUCUACUCUAACCAAUAUCUAGCCUAGACAUUUAUUCGCCCAAUUGUAUCCAUGUAAGAAAUAAAUUUUUUAACUUUACUCUCCAUAGCAGCCCUACAUAUGAGAUCCUUUAAAGUCUUAUCUUUGAACCUUGUAUUGAAGUUACUCGUUAAAUAACACAUGCAAAAUCUAUGAUAAGAAUCUGGCUCUAUCUAUCUUGAAUAAGUCUCAUUUAUAGUAGCUAUAAUGCCAGGAUGACGAUCAGAGAUCAGACACAAUCCUUUCCUUUGUGUCAUUCUAACUUUGAUACAUGCCAAAAACCAAUUCCAACUAUUUGUAUUCUUUCCUUCUAUAAUGACAAAGGUAAGAGGAAACAAUUGGUUAUUACCAUCACAUCCCAUAGCAAUCAUCAAAGUCCAUUUAUAUUUUCCAAACAAAUAUGUCCCAUCAAUACUAAUAAAUGGUAGAUAGUGAGUAAACUCUUUAAUAGAUGAAGAGAAUGCCCAAAAAACAGGCUAAAAUUUUUCUUCAUUCGGGGGUAACUUUGCAUAAGACUUGUACCAAUCACCAAAUAAUCAAGUCAUUGCUUUCCUUUUUGCCUUCGUUGCUUUUUGAUAAGAAAUUUGGUAACCAAAUUGUUUCACAACAAUAGCUUGAAUUGUAGCAAUUGUAAUGGUCAUUUGUGUCUUCACCAAUGUUUCAAUAUACUCUAACACAAAGCUAGAAUCCAACUAUGAAUGAUCUUGAUUAAUACAUAGAUUGACACGUGUAGGAGGACCUUUGUAUUUUACGAUUCUAAACAUACUCGUAUCUUUCACCACCAUUGCCCUUAGUCGCCAUUAACACUAUAGUUUUUUUUUUUUGUUUUUUUUGUUUUUUUUGCAUUUAAGAACUAACAUACUUGUAUUUUAUCUAUAAACAGUAAACUCUUGGUGUUACUUUAUGAAAUACAUCUUCACAGCAUGUUGCAAAUCUACUUUUAAGGGAAAUAUUUGGCCAAUUGAUAACUCCCCAUUAACAUUUCCUAAAGUUGGAUUUUUUCAUGGAGUCCAAUCACUUACAACACAAUUAAUUACUCCGUCUAAACUUAAAAGCUAUGGUAUAGGUGGCAUAUGGUAUGAAACGGGUACAAAUGUUGCCUCUUGGUUUUCAUUGGAGAUAUAAACUUGGGUAUCAUGUGAGGAGGCAACUAGUGAUAUGUUUUCAACCUCAAAUUCAACCUCGAGAUCAUUAGACUUAUCACCAACUUUAAGGUUCACAUAUCUUGUGUUUUCACAUUCCACAACUUGUUGGACCAUCACCAAAUCAAUAUUUUCUCUUUGACCUCAAUUUUAAUCAUCAUUAGGUAAAUGAAUCUCAUCUAUAUCGAUUGCAUCAUUUUUAUCAUCUUCCUCAUUAGACAUGUUCCUCGUCAACAUCAGUAUCACCUGCUGACAACCGUGUCAAAUGACCUAUUUCAUUACUCAAAUGAUAGUGAUUGGGAGCUUGCUCCAUGAAUAAUUGAACUGAAAACAUUCCAUACUUCAAUGACACUACUAGCAUACGUGCUAUUGUUCGAUCAUUUCUUUCCAUUAAUGGUUGAAAUUUAUUCAGUCCAAUUGGAUGUCGACAUUUCAAGACUAAUUGAUAGUCUGUCAACACCAAUGAUAUCAUAUAUCAUGUUCAAAAACUCUACAAAGGUCAUAUUGUAGACCCUCCAUUUUGUCUCCUUGGCACAUAUCUUGAUUAAGUACUCUUUCAAUACUUUAUAGCAGUUCUUGAAAGCCUAUUGUUACUCACAUAUCUUACCUCUUUGAGUCAUUCUAGACAUUAGAUACACAUUUAUAACAAUUUGUUUAGACUUAUUUCAGCACAUUAGGCACACCUGACCCAUUUAGGUACGCCUAAUCUUUUAAGGCUUGCUCUAGCACGCCUAAGUCAUUUGUAUAGCUUAUGUGGCUUGCAUGGCCUACAUGGCCUAUGUAGUUUGCAUGUUUUCUUUAUAAAUACAUGUUGUGCACUUAUGUAUAGUUAUCUAUUUAUUUAUUUAUUUGUUCAUUUUCAUAUCUACUUAUAUAUAUAUAUAUAUAUAUAGUCAUUGUAUAUUAUUAUUAUUAUUAUUAUUAUUAUUAUUAUUAUUGUCAUUGUAUUUUAUUUUUUUAAAUUAUCAUCAUUAGAAUUGUUUUUGUUACCAUUGUUUCUAUUAUCAUCAUUAUUAUUAAGAUUAUUAUUAUUUUACUGAUAUUAUUAAUAUUAUUCUUACUAUUAUAUUAUAUUAUAUUUUUAUUUUCAUUUCUAUUUCCAAAAUACUUUUUUAUUUAUUUUUAUUUUAUUUACUUGUUUAUUUAGAAAAAAAAAAAAGAAUUUUUAGUGAGGAAGUGGAAAUGAGCCUCCAUUGGGAAAAGGAGGUUGGGGGAUUACGAGACGUGAAAAUUGAGAAGAAAUGGGAGAAAGAAGGUCAACACAGGUGGGAUUUUUUGAGGAGGCAUUCUGGGAAUUUUCAAGAGGAUAAGCAGAUUUUGUUGUGGGGAUGAACACCAUUAAAAAUAGGGCAACAUCUGAGGAUUUUAGAAGCAUCAACUCGCGCCAUGAGAGGUGAGAGAAUGCCAUCAGAUUUGUCCUUGAAUAACAGUGUGCAUAAGAUUUGAGAACCAGAUUUUCUCUUGAAGAUUGAAAACAUGAUUUUGGAAGAGAAAGAUCAUUAGAUUAUAUUUUUUAGGAGAGAACACAAGCACCAGAAUUUUCUGGGUGGAGAUUAACACCAAAAUUUUCUAAGGAGAGGUUGAAGAGAUCAUAGGGAUUUGUGGCAGAAUUUUGGAGCAACAUAAGGGCAGUCUAAAACGAAGAAAUGGAGGAGCAUCUUGGAUGAGGGGAAUCAUGGACUAGUGAAAAAUGGAGAAGACUGCCACUCGGAGAUGAUAAUAAAAAGAGAAGUCUUUAGAGAUAUGAGGAUUUAAACAAUUUGUGAAGUGGGUCAACACCACAACCCUCGAUCAUCAUCAUCAUAUUCACCAUUGAUUGCAAUAAUUGGCAAAUGAGUUUUUGUGGGUUUGAUUCAAAUGUUGAUAUGUAAAUUUUGGAGGGGUCCCACAUGAUUUCUAACAUCUACUUUGAGAAGACCAGGGACGGUUCUUGAGUUUUGGAGGAAAGACCAGUUCAGGUUGUAGGAGGGAUUCCACUAUCACUCAAAUUUUGGAACUCCACUUUGGGGUGUGUGCAGGUCUUAGUUUUGAGAACAGAAACUAUACCUGUAUCACAUGAUUAACAAGAUCAUGAGUUCAUAGAGAAGAAAUCUGAUCAUCAUCCUGCAUGGUCUUUGGAGGAUGACACCAUUUUGCUCACAAUUAGUUCCAUUGAGAGAUCUCCAUCAAGGUCGCAUUUGUGGAUUUUUCACAGUAGGUUGCCACUCAAAAAGCCCAUCCACGCACAAAUUUUUGCACCACCAGAUUUUGUGAGAGGUAUCCACCACGCACUACUAGGAUGAGAAUAAGGUUGCCACUUUGAACCUCCACUACAUAUCAGUUUAUUCUUUGUAAAAAGAAAAAAAGGAUGCCACUUUAAGAAUAUGACACCACCAGAUUUUGUGAAAGAAACCCACACGUUUUGAUGAAUUUGGAGAGCAACCAUACCAUGCAAAGAAGAUGACAACAAGCUGCCACUUUAAGGACGUCUCAGGAUCUUCUUUUAGAACAUGCAACAUAUAAAGCAUCAUAUUGGAAGGAUUAAGAGCGUUCUAACAGCAACCCCUCUUACACGGUGGAAGGUAAGUUCUCUUUUUAAAUUAUUGUUUUAGUUUAGUUUAAUUUGUUCUAUUAGUUUAGGUCCAUUUAUGAUUUUUCAUCAUUAAUUUAAUCGAUCCUUGGUGUUAUAGUUCAUGCUUUGAUUUGGAUUGAUCUCAUUCUUUUAGUUUGAGUAUUUCUUAUAUUUUUGGUAAAUUGGCUUCUAGGUGAUGCAGUUUUUAUUUUGAAAUUUGUCUUGAUUUAUCUUAUUUCGUUGUAGUUAGUUUAGAAUUUUUCAUUAUAGUGCACUAUACUUCUACAUCUGUAAAUUGGAAUCUGACAACUUAGAAACCAUUUUAAAUUUUUAUAACUAUUCUAUGACAAUCUAGACUCCUUGAACUUAAUUUUAGAAUCUUUCUUGGCUCAAAUAUGGUUUUCCAGUUAGGAGAUAUAAAUCAAAUUUUUAGAAGGUUCAGUUUUCACUCUAUUUUUUAUACUCAGUCUUGUUUUACAAAAUUAAAUUACUAAACAAUCUCUUUAAUUUCUUUGAGCAUUUUUUUUAAUCUAGACUUCUCAAAUUUAAUUUUUGAUAUAUAAAAUAUUAAUAAAUAAUUUCUGAAAUAAAAGAUAUAAUUUUUUAUUCUUGCCUCCACUACAUGAGUGCUCUUCUAGAGCUGAGAUAUGUUUAUUUAUUUUUAAAUAUGUUAUGAAUGUGUUAUCUCUUGAGAUUAUUUUUAAUAUAAAUAAACACAUUAAGAUAGUAUUGUGAAUUUUUGUAUGAUUGAGGACAUCUAUAAGUUAAUUGUAAAAAUCAAUUGUUGAAUACCUUUAGAAGAUGCUCUAUUCUGGACCUAUUAUCAUCAUCAUGAAAUCUGGUACUAAAUGAGGGCUGGUUAAUUAAUUUGGUUACUUAGAUGAUAAACUAGACAUAUAGGAGAUGUCCUCUAAAAAUUUUCUUGAUAAAACUUAACUUCUAGGUAUUUUUUUUAGAUUUAUUUUGUACAGUCUUCUAUUCUAAUCGUUUGCUGAUUCUUUUCUGUGAAGUAACCUCUUUGUGAAUAAAUUUGUUAUUGAUUGGAAUAUAAUUGAUUAAUUUGGCCUAUUGGAUUUUUAUCUAGACAUGUUAAAGAUGUUACCUAAUUUUUAUUUUUGUGAGAUAACCUUUCUUGAUAUUUAUUUGGAGUUUAUUUUGUGAACCGAUAUUCUACCAUUUUAAUGAUAUUUCUUUGCCUUUUGAUAAUCUAGUCACUUUUGAACAUACUUGUGAACUUUCCUUGACUUGAGACAUGCUAAGUGUUAGCCCAAGGGUUCUCUUAAUCGGGUUUUGAUGAUAACAAACCAUGGCUAAGUGACUAAUUGGUUUAAUGAUUAAGAAUCUUAGGUAUAAACUCGAAAAUUCAUCAAAGGACCAAAUGGAUACAAGAUCGAGACGCUUAGAAGACUUGUGAUCAUAGGAAACUAAUGUAAGAUGAAUGCAUGAGUGCACUUAGGAUUUUCACACGUUUCAUGCAACUUAGAAAACUUGUUUUAUUCUUUAAAACUUCGAUUUCAUUAAAACCCAGGUUUUUAACUAAUGUACCUUAGGCAAAAUGUUUUAUAAUUGGCUUAAUAAUUCACCUAAAGACCUUACCUAAGUGUUAGAAAAGAAAGGAAUUAAAAAAUAGGUUUUCGGGGCCAAAAAGGCUCAACCGAUCGAGGCUAUGGCCAACUGGCUCAACCGAUUGAGGAACCGGUCGAGGGAUGCCAAAAAGUUUCUUUCUCUCCAAGUGGCCUUCUCUUCCCGAUCGAGGUGAUUCUCUUCCCGGUCGAGGUCCGGUCGAGGCAACGGUAACCUGUCAUGAAUUAAAUGCUCCAACGGCUAGUGAACCGGUCGACCCCUAGCUCGACUGGUAAAGGUUACUUUUUGCUGUUUUUGACUCUCGAGCUUAGAAACCUAUAAAUUGAGAGCUCUAAUUCAUUUAUUGACAAGAGAACACUUGCAAUCAAUUGUCUACCUACCUGUUCUUGACCACAAAGCUCUCAUUUCUUUCAUAGUGCAUUAAAUCAUCACUUGCAUAUCCUUUAGUGCACUCUUGUGUGUCAUCCUAGCUUUGUCUCGUGUUUGAGCUAUCCUUAAGCUAGGUUGAGGGAUUCUUUCUUGUAAAAAUCUGAGUGUUAAAGCCUUCAAGAGGUUUGAAUCUUGAAAAGAUUGUGUAAGAGUCCAUUGGAGCCGGAAUCCAAGUGUAAGAAGAUUGGAAGCUUGGUUGAAGCUUCAAGUUAGUGGAACCCUCACUCGGUUAGGAGAUUGAGGAAAGUGGACGUAGGCAAGGAAGUGCCAAACCACUAUAAAACCCGAGUUUGAAUUCUCUAGCUCUAUCUCUUUAUUUCGCUUAUAUUGUGUUUGAAUUUGUUGUGAUUGAAAAGAUUUUAAAAACCCAAUUCACCCCCCUCCCCCUCUUUUGGGUGUUUUUCUUAAUUAAGCAUAACCUUUGUUUUCUCAAUUGGUAUCAGAGCUAGACCUCUUGUUUUUUAAAGACUUAAUCGUCUAAGAGAAAAUGACUAUUCCAUCAAGCUCAUCCCAAGCUGAAAAUUUUUCAAAACAUAGAGCUCUAUUAUUUACGGGAACCGACUAUCCCUAUUGGAAAACUAGAAUGACUUGGUAUUUGCAAUCUACUGAUUUAGAUGUAUGGAAUGUCAUUGAAGAUGACCCAACUUUUCCCACUAAACUAGUCAAUGGAGUUUUGGUUCCAAAACCCAAGCAAGAAUGGAAUGAGCUUGAUAGAAGAAACUUUCAAUUAAAUGCUAAAGUCGUUUUUACUUUGCAAUGUGCUAUGGAUAGAAAUGAAUACAAUAGAAUAUGUCAAUGCAAAUCGGCUAAAGAAAUUUGGAGAUUGCUUGAAAUAACUCAUGAAGGAACUAAUCAAGUGAAAGAGUCAAAAAUUAAUUUACUUGUUCAUAACUAUAAAUUGUUUUCAAUGAAAGAAAAUGAGAUUAUUGUUGAGAUGAUUACUAAGUUCACCGACAUUGUCAAUGGUCUUGAAGCUUUGGGAAAAACCUACAAGGAAUCUGAGAAGGUGAUGAACAUAUUGAGGUCUCUCCCAUCAAAGUGGCAUACCAAGGUCACCGCAAUUCAAAAAGCAAAAGACUUGACUAAGCUACCUAUGGAAGAGCUCAUAGGGUCAUUAAUGACAUAUGAGAUCAAUUUGACAAAGAAGUUACAAGAGGGUGAAGACAAAAAGAAGAAGAGCAUAGCCCUCAAAGCUACAACCAAGGAAGAAGAAGAUGUUGAAGAGGAAAAACCAAGUGAUAAAGAUCAUGAUUUAGCCCUCAUCACAAGAAAGCUUAACAAAUACAUGAGAGGUGAAAGGUUUAGAGGAAGGAAGUUCACCUCUAGAAGAGAUCCUUCUAAAAAGGAAUCUUCAUCCCAUGGUGACAAGGAGAUAUUGGAAGAGAAAAGAGAUUUGAUAUGCUUCAAGUGCAAAAAACCGGGACACAUUAAAUAUGAUUGUCCUCUCUACAAGAGUGAAGCCAAGAGAAGAAUGAAGAAGACAAUGAUGGCCACUUGGAGUGAAAGUGAAGAAUCCUUCGAAGAAGAAAAGGAGAAGGAAGUGGCAAACAUGUGCUUCAUGGCAAUAGAUGAUCUUGAUGAGGUAAACUCUAACUUUAGUGAUGAAGAUAUGCAUGAUGUUUUUGAAGAAUAAUAUGAGGAUUUUGAAAAACUUAGUUUGAAAAAUAAUUCUCUUAAAAAGAAAAUUCAAGAACUUGAAAAGGAACUUGAAGAAAUAAAAGAAAAAUUUUCAAUUGUUGAAAUAUCUAAAACUCAUCUUGAAAAAGAAAAUGAGAUUUUGAGAAGUGAAAAUGAGAUUUUGAAAAAGAAAAAUGAAUGGUUGACCUCCUCUCUCUCAAUUUUCUCUUGUUGACAAAAAUAUUUUGAAAUGAUCUUAGCUAGCCAAAAAUGUGUCUUUGACAAAGAAGGGCUAGGAUUUAAAUCUUCAAAAAAUCAAAAGUAUUUUAAAAACUACUUUGUAAAAGAAUCUACAAGUGCAAGUCCUUCUACCACCUGCAACUUUUGUGGAAGAGGAGGGCACAUUAGUAGUACACGUCCCUUAAGAAAUGGUUCUCAAAGGAAUUCUAAUGCUAAAGCUAAAAAGGUUUGGGUUGAGAAAUCCAAGGUCACUAACCCUCAAGGACCCAAAAAAAUAUGGGUACCUAAAUCAACUUAAAUUUUAUUUUGUAGGGAUCAAAAAAGGAUAAGUGGUUCUUAGAUAGUGGAUGCUCAAGACACAUGACCAGGGAUGAAUCCAAGUUUGUUUUUCUUACAAAGAGGAAGGGAGGAUACGUUACCUUUGGAGACAAUGCAAAAUGAAGGAUCAUUGGUUAAGGCAACAUUGGUAAUGACACAUCCUCUCUUAUUGAAAGUGUUUUAUUAGUGGAUGGUUUAAAACAUAAUCUUUUGAGCAUAAGUCAACUUUGUGACAAAGGUUUUAAAGUGAUUUUUGAAGCAUCUCAUUGCAUCAUCAAAGAUAUUCAAAAUGAUAAAACCAUCUUCAUGGGCCAUAGAUGUGAUAAUGUUUAUGCAAUAAAUAUUUCAAAAUAUGAUGGCCAUGAUAGAUGCUUUUCAAGCAUGCAUGAUCAAAGUUGGUUGUGACAUAGGAGGUUGGGACAUGCUAACAUGGACCUCAUUUCCCAACUCAACAAAGAUGAACUUGUUAGAGGCCUUCCCAAAAUAAAUUUUCAAAAAGACAAAGUUUGUGAAGCUUGUCAAAUGGGAAAGCAAAUAAAAAACUCUCUUAAAAACAAAAAUUUCAUUUCAACAACUAAGCCUCUUGAAUUGUUGCAUAUGGAUUUAUUUGGUCCCUUUAGGACACCAAGCCUUGGAGGAAAAUCUUAUGCAUUUGUUAUUGUGGAUGACUUCUCUAGAUACACUUGAGUCUUAUUUUUAAGUCAAAAGAAUGAAGCCUUUUAUGAGUUUUCAAAGUUUUGCAACAAGGUUUAAAAUGAAAAAGGUUUUACAAUUACUUGUAUAAGAAGUGAUCAUGGGAAAGAAUUUGAAAAUAUUGAUUUUGAAGACUAUUGCAAUGAGCAUGGUAUUAACCACAAUUUUUUAGCUCCUAGAACUCCUCAACAAAAUGGGGUAGUUGAAAGGAAAAAUAGAACUCUUCAAGAAAUGGCUAGAACCAUGCUAAAUGAAAACAAUUUACUAAAAUACUUUGGGGCCGAAGCGGUUAACACUUCUUGUUAUAUUUUAAAUAGAAUUUUAUUAAAGCUUAUUCUUAAGAAAACUCCCUAUGAGCUUUGGAAAAACAAGAAACCCAACAUUAUCUAUUUCAAAGUCUUUGGGUCAAAAUGCUUUAUAUUAAACACCAAAGACAAUCUUGAAAAAUUUGAUGCAAAAUCGGAUGUUGGAAUUUUUCUUGGUUACUUAACUUCAAGUAAAGCCUUUAGAGUUUUUAACAAAAGAACCAUGGUUGUUGAGGAGUCCAUCCAUGUUAUUUUUUAUGAAUCUAACAAUUCUCUCCAAGAAAGAGAGAGCUUUGAUGAUGAUUUAGGCUUGGAGACCUCCAUGGGAAAAUUACAAAUUGAAGAUAGAAGGCAACAAGAAGAAAUUGUAGAGGAUCCCAAGAAAGAAGAAUCACAUUUGACACUACCUCCUCCUCAACAAGUGCAAGGUGAAUCAAGCCAAGACCUUCCUAAAGAUUGGAAGUUUGUCAUCAACCACCCACAAGAUCAAAUUAUAGGUAAUCCAUCUAGUGGGGUAAGAACUAGAUCAUCUCUUAGAAAUAUUUGCAAUAAUCUUACUUUUAUCUCUCAAAUUGAACCUAAAAAUAUAAAAGAUUCUCUAAUUGACGAAAAUUGGAUGAUUGCUAUGCAAGAAGAGUUAAACCAACUUGAAAGAAGUGAAGUAUGGGAAUUAGUGCCAAGACCUCAAAAUCUAAGUGUUAUUGGAACUAGAUGGGUCUUUAGAAACAAAACGGAUAAAAAUGGCAUAAUUAUAAGGAAUAAAGCAAGAUUGGCAGCCCAAGGUUUUAAUAAAGAAGAAGGGAUAGAUUAUGAAGAAACCUUUGCUCCUGUAGCUAGAUUGGAAGCCACUAGGAUGCUACUUGCCUUUGCAUGUUUUAAAAACUUUGUUUUAUAUUAAAUGGAUGUGAAAAGUGCUUUCUUAAAUGGCUUUAUAAAUGAAGAGGUAUAAGUUGAACAACCACCCGACUUGCAAAGUUUUAACUUUCCCAAUAAUGUUUUUAAACUUAAAAAGGCACUUUAUGGUUUGAAACAAGCACCUAGAGCAUGGUAUGAAAGAUUGAGUAAAUUUCUUUUGAAAAAGGGUUUUAAAAUGGGAAAAAUUGACACAACUCUUUUCAUAAAAACCAAAGAAAAUAACAUGCUCUUAGUGCAAAUAUACGUUGAUGAUAUCAUUUUUGGAGCUACUAAUGUCUCUCUUUGUGAAGAAUUUUCUAAAUGCAUGCAUAGUGAGUUCGAAAUGAGCAUGAUGGGAGAACUUAACUUCUUCCUUGGACUUCAAAUCAAGCAACUAAAGGAAAAAACCUUCAUCAAUCAAGCAAAGUAUAUAAGAGAUCUCCUCAAAAGGUUCAAUAUGGAGGAAGCUAAAACAAUGAAGACUCCAAUGAGUUCAUCCAUCAAGCUUGACAAGGAUGAAAAAGGUAAGUCCGUCAACUCAAUUAUGUAUAGAGGCAUGAUAGGUUCAUUGCUAUAUUUGACCGCUAGUAGACCCGACAUCAUGUAUAGUGUAUGCUUAUGUGCUAGAUUUCAAUCUUGUCCUAAAGAAUCUCAUUUAAGUGUUGUAAAAUGAAUUCUUAGAUAUUUAAAAGGGACAAUGGACAUAGGCUUAUGGUAUCCUAAGGGUGAUAACUUUGAAUUAAUUGGAUUCUCGGAUGCUGACUUUGCCGGUUGUAAAGUUGAAAGGAAAAGCACUAGUGGCACUUAUCAUUUCCUAGGACACUCAUUUGUUUCAUGGCAUAGUAAGAAGCAAAAUUCGAUAGCUUUGUCUAUGGCGGAAGUCGAAUACAUAGCAGCCGGUUUAUGUUGUGCACAAAUCCUUUGGAUGAAACAAACACUUAGUGAUUUCAAUUUGAUUUUUGAGCAUGUUCCUAUUAAAUGUGAUAAAACUAGUGCCAUAAACAUUUCAAAAAAUCCGGUGCAACACUCUGGGACUAAGCAUAUAGAGAUUAGACACCAUUUUCUUAGAGACCAUGCACCAAAGGGUGACAUUACACUUGAAUUUGUAAGUACCAAAGAUCAACUUGCCGAUAUUUUUACAAAACCUCUAAGUGAAGAGCAAUUUUUUGAUAUUAGAAGACAACUAGGGGUGAUUUCUUUAUGAUCAAAUGAUUGCUUGAUGAAUUCUUGAUUGAAUACCUUAUGAUUGUGUGAAUUUCAUAUCAUAUGCAUCAUAUAGAAAUAAUCUUAGGAAAAAGGUCAAAUUUUGACCAAAAAUCAAAAUUCCCUUAGCAUUGGACAUAAAAAAUUGGGGAUUUCAAUUGAAAAGGGCAGGGGGAGGGUUACGAAAUGAGAAAAUGCAAAAAAUUGGAUUGUUGACCGUUGAUCGUUGACCAAGCGGUCGACCGGUUGAAGAACCGAUCGAUCGGUUUGUCGAGGCUGGGAAUUUAAAAAGACCCAUCGCACUUCAUUUUUCACCUGUUCUCCUCCACACCUUGAAGAUUCUUCACAUCCCUACCUCCAGAAAUCAGUUUGGGCAAGAUCUUGGACUAUUUGCAGGCUUUGGAGUGGAUUUUAGGACGCAUUUGAGGCUAGGGUUUCAAUCUAAAACCUAGGGUUUUCAGUUUUGGGAUCUUUUUCUCUCUGACCGCGUGCCUUAAGCUUGGAUUCAGCCUCAUCUCAAUGCGUAUAGGGCUUCAGGUUGGACUUCAUCCUCUCUCAUUUGGUUUCAGCCUCAUCUCUGUGCGUUUUUCUUUAUUUUUCCGUUAUUUGGAUGGCACCUAGGUGAGAGACGGACACCUCUAGGGCUCAGGGCAAACGCCCUGCUGAGCCAUCUCAGCCUGAGCAGACAGAGGCUCACCGAAAGGCGAGGUAUGACACGGCCCUAUUCAGUUCCGUCAAAGAUUAUUAGCGAUACAAACAAAAAUUCGCCCAAAGGAAAGUCGUUCCAGGGAAAAGUAUCAAUUUCUCCCAACUUCAGCACUUCAAGUUUGAGGGACUCUUCAGUCGGAUGGGAUAGCUGCCCGUUGUGACGAUUUUCGAGCCGAUCUUCCCGACUCUAGUGAGGACAUUUUAUUCAUGGGUGACCUAUGGGCUUAGAGGAUCGGUCAUGUCCACGGUUAGAGGAGUUGAGAUUAGAUUUAGCCCGGAGAGUAUCUGCCGCAUUCUCGACAUCCCUUCAGUUGGACUCCAAGUAUAUGAGGCCAGGGCAUGGCCCACUGUGCUGAGAUUUGAGCCUAGAGAGGCUAUUCAGAGGUUGUGCGGACUUGCAGAUGCCCAGGGGAUGGGCAACCAUCGGCACAUAGCCUGACCGUGUCCAGCCAAGUCAUUCAUCAUAUGAUUUGCUCCAUCUUAUAGCCACGAGGUGGACAUCAGGACGAGGUCUCCUACCUUGUGGCCUUCAUUGUGAACUCGAUUCUGACAGGAAGACGGAUUCACAUGGGGUAUCUGAUGAUGAUGCAUAUGAUAUCCUGCGUUGAGAGCACGACCCAAGGAUUCCCCCAUGACCGCUUCCUUACCCGAGUAUUCAAGGAUGUCGGGGUUAACUUGAGUAGAGAGACUGAAUUCGAGGCCCCUACUAGUUAUGACACUUACGAUGAGCAGUCCUUGGGGCAAAUGAAGUUCGAGAAAGCACCCAAUGGCUCCUGGAUUAGGAGAGUUGAGCGACAGGUCUAGGAACAGGGACAAAUGUAUCCCGGAGCAGAGGAGGAGGCCGAGAUCAGAGAGAUGGAGGAUGGGUUAGACCCUCAAAGGGAUUUUGAGCAGAAAGGGCUCGAGCUUGACAUUCCGCCUCCACCUCAGUCAGAGGGUAUUCAUGUUAAGGCCACUUUCUCAGAGCCUAUAAUGAUUGAGCCGUCUUACACAACAGGACCAUCAUCUCAGCCAUCAUUUAUCGAGUUUUCUCACACAGAGAUACCAUCUCAGGCACCUCAUGCUCCAAAUCAUGCGCCUUAGAUUGAUGUAUCAGCUUAGAUCAGCUCCCUUGGGACUCAUAUGGAGGAGCUUGCUUUAGUCCAUGACACUCGUUUCUACUCUAUGGAGAAGUGCAUAAAGGAGCGUAUGGAUCAGCAGCAGGCUAUAUUCGAGCAUCUCCAGCAGAGUAUUGAUCGCAUUGAGAGUCGUUAGGUGAGUCAGCAUGACGAGAUGAUGGCUUACCUCCGCUCUGUGUUUCCUCAGCCUUGAGUUUAUCUAGAGUUCCCCCUCAAUUUCUUUUUUAUGUUGCCAAAGGGGGAGAAAUAUCUAGGAUCUAGGAGACCCUCAUGCAUAUCAUUGUCAUCAUUGUCAUAUCUAUCUUGUUUAGCGUAUGUUUUCGUGUACAUGUGAGGUUACCAUAUAUAUAUGAUAUGAUAUUUUCAUGAUCCAUUGUUUCCUAUUCAAAUUUUCGUGAUUUACAUUGUUUCCUAUUAAAAAUUGUUUGAUUGAUCCAUGAUUGGUUUGAGGGGGAGAUUUUUUUCUCUUCUAGAUAACCAAGGUUUGUCAUCAUAAAAAAGAGGGAGAUUGUUAGCCCAAGGGUUCUCCUAAUCAGGUUUUGAUGAUAACAAACCAUGGUUAAGUGACUAAUUGGUUUAAUGAUUAAGAAUCUCAGGCAUAAACUCGAAAAUUCAUCAAAGGACCAAAUGGAUACAAGAUCGAAAAUCUUGGAAGACUUGUGAUCAUAAGAAACUAAUGUAAGAUGAAUGCAUGAGUGCACUUAGGAUUUUCAUGCAACUUAGAAAACUCGGUUUAUCCUUUAAAACUUCGAUUUCAUUAAAACCCGAGUUUUUAACUAAUGUACCUUAGGCAAAAUGUUUUAUAAUUGACUUAAUAAUUCACCUAAAGACCUCACCUAAGUGUUAGAAAAGAAAGGAAUUAAAAAAAAUAGGUUUUCGGGGCCAAAAAGGCUCAAGCGGUCAAGACUAUGGCCAACCGGCUCAACCGAUUGGGGAAUUGGUCGAGGGAUGCCAAAAAGUUUAUUUAUCUCCCAGUGGCCUUCUCUUCCCGGUCGAGCUCCGAUCGAGGCAACGGUAACCUGUCAUGCAUUAAAUGCUCCAACGGCUAGUGAACCGGUCGACCCCUAGCUCGACCGGUCGAGGUUACCUUUUGCUGUUUUUGACUCCCGAGCUUAGAAACCUAUAACUUGAGAGCUCCACUUCAUUUAUUGACAAGAGAACACUUGCAAUCAAUUGUCUACCUACCUGUUCUUGACCACAAAGCUCUCAUUUCUUUCAUAGUGCAUUAAAUCAUCACUUGCAUAUCCUUUAGUGCACUCUUGUGUGUCAUCCUAGUUUUGUCUUGUAUUUGAGCUAUCCUUAAGCUAGGUUGAGGGAUUCUUUCUUGUAAAAAUCUGAGUGUUAAAGCCUUCAAAAGGUUUGAAUCUUGAAGAGAUUGUGUAAGAGCCCAUUAGAGCCGGAAUCCAAGUGUAAGAAGAUUGAAAGCUUGGUUGAAGCUUCAAGUUAGUGGAACCCUCACUCGGUUAGGAGAUUGAGGAGGGUGGACGUAGGCAAGAAAGUGUCGAACCACUAUAAAACCCGAGUUUGAAUUCUCUAACUUUAUCUCUUUAUUUCGUUUAUAUUGUGUUUGAAUUUGUUGUGAUUGAAAAGAUUUUAAAAACCCAAUUCACCCCCCUCCCUCCCCCCAUUUUGGGUGUUUUUCUUAAUUAAACAUAGCCUUUGUUUUCUAACUAAGUGUAUAUAUAUAUAUAUAUAUAUAUAUAUAUAUAUAUAUAUGUUUAGUUAUUUUUUUUUAUUUAUUAUUCUUUAAUCUUAUCAUUAUUAUUGGUGAAUUAACCUCAUUUUUAUAGAAUCAUUGACGCUUGCUACACAGGUACGCUAUCUAUUUUCCCAUUUUAAAGUUCCAUGAAUAUGUAUGUCAUUAAGAACUAUAUCCUUGUUUGAUAUUAACUUUGGGUACCUUGAUGUUCAUUUGGUUUCCUUUGAUAAAAUGCAUGUUGAGUAAUAUAAUACUUGAACUAACUUUGGUGUUUUAUGAUAGCAUUUAAGUUAUAGAUCUAGGUAUGCAUAUUAUCCUUUCUUUAUGAUAGUGGUUUGAAUCCUUGUUUGGCAUGUUAGAAUUAGUAUAGUUUUUGAAAUCACCUUAACUUAUCUAAGUAUUCAUUAUUAAGUAAUUAAUUGUCAUAUUUCCCUUAACUAAGUUAGUAGAGACCUUGUUAGGGCUUAGAGGGGUGCUACCUCUUUGGAGGUACCUUCCUGAUAGGUAACCUAAUCCCCAGACCCAAACUCAGGUUUUUCGUAGACAACUUUUCCAAAAAAAAAAAUCAGGAGUUCUUUUAGGGGUUUUGUUCUUACUUGUUUUCCCCUUUAAAAAUAAAUAAAAGUAAGUGGUGACUCCAACUUUUUAUAAAAAUCCAUUUUUCACUUUAAUCAAAAGUGAGUCUCGCCAAUUGAGUGGGAAUGCAUCGUGAAAAAUGUGGAUCCACACAUAUGAAUAGGCAUAUCUAUAGACUCAAUCUCUACAUUAUUUCCAAUAUAUCUCAAAUUUUUUUUUGUCCACAAAAUUGUUUCAUUCAAAUAACAUAACACUUCUAUUGUGGAAUCAGUCAUAAUUGUCUUCACAGACAUAAUAAUAAAAGGUUAUUACAUCACAAAUAAUAUUCAUUCAAGUAAAAAAUUAUACUUUAUAGUCAGUUAUUCAUAAAAGAAAAGAAUAAGCCAAAUAAAUAUUGAAAUGGGACAAAGCUUCAUGUCUAAAUACCAAGUUCAACUCAAAUGAAAGCAAUUUAAGUAUGGACAUUUUCAUAAAAUUUAUAGGAAAUUUAUGUCCUUAACCAACACAAUCAAUAAUAAGAUCAACAAAAAACUAAUAACAACAAGUUUUUUAUUCUUUUACUUUUAGGAACAUUUGUAAAAAGGAAAACCAUACAUCAAAAUAACCAUACAAUAAUGAACAUUUAGGAUUAUCAAUUAUUUGUUUGUCAAAGCAUAUUUUUAUGGUGACAUUGAACCUAAAUCAAAGUGUGAAUAACAUUUUUUUCAACUAAGGAAAACCAAGUUCACUAGCAUCAACUCCAUCAAUUUCAUCAAAUUUAAUAAGUUUAAAGAAUUUUAAAACUUGAAUUAAAAGCAAUGAAUUAAAAAAAACAAAACUUAAUUAAUUUAAUUGUAAUAAAAUACUUUUUUUUAUAUGAUAAGAAGGAAUUAAAAAUAAACAACCAUCAACUCCAUCAAUUUCAUCAAAUUUAAUCAUUUUAAAAAGAAAUAAAAAUUUAAUUAAAAGCAACAAACUAAAAAAGAACAAAACUUAAUUAAUUUAAUUAUAAUAAAAUACUUAAUUUUAUAUGAUAAAAAGGAAUUAAAAAUAAACAAUCAUUACACUGCAAUCCCACUUUACCCGUUGAAUAGCUAUUUAAUAAUAUUUAAAAUGAAAUCUUUUUUAAAACUCCAUGAAAUUUUUGUUAAAAUUCACUUAGUGAUAUUAAAUAUAAUUUAUUAAUUCCAUUAUAUUUCAUACCCAUGUAAAAUAACCUUAGUUAUUUGAAUUUAUUGUGACUAGCAAUAAACCUUUUCUAAGUUAUUAAAUGGUUAAAAUCAUUCAAUUGAGGGAAAAUUAGUACAAACUCAAAUUUAGUUAUGGAAUGAUUUGUGAUCAAAUUAGCCCAAGGUAGAGUUUUUCAUUAUUAAAUUAUACUAAUAAAGAGAGAAUUAGAGACUCAAUCCCUCACCCACACUGACAGUCUUAGAAUAUAUUUGUUUCUUUUUCACACCCAAUACUUUUUGUCUACAUGUUUACAUUAAACAAGGAAGUUGUUGGACCACUUAAUGACUUUAAAUAAUUUAAUUUCUCGUAUUAUGAAAAAGACAAGAGAAAAUUAUUUAGUUAAGUGAGUCCAAGACCAAAAAAAUUUUGGUGUGUUAUGUACCAAAAAACAUGUGUAGACAUGUGACCCAAAAUCCUCCAAAAAUAUUAAAAUACCAUUUGCCAUAAACACCAAUAUACAAACUUACAAUAAAUAAUAAACAUUACAAAGAAUACAAAUUUAAGCAGAGAGAAAUAGAAUGAGAGAGACAACAACCUAGCACUUUAUGGAUCCAAUAAAAAAAUAACCCAGAAAUUCACAAAGACAAUGAUGAUAACAGUAAAAUGAUUAUUUCUAUUUGUUUUUCAUCUCUAACCUGUAGGUUGCAGUCUUCACCCUAUCUAUAGGUGAAGACCUGAACCAUGAAAUUCUAAAUCUAAAAUGAAGGAAAAGUGAACCUGAAAAUGUGUUUGGUCAUCAUUUUAAGGAAAAACCCAAGUGUUGUUGUUUGGUUACAGAGAAAACUUUACAUAAUAACAAGCCAAAAAGAAGAUUGGGACCAACCUAAAGCUUCAUACUUUGCAGCUCCCACAAUAUCUCUCUCAUAGUGGGCUAAUGGUGGGGCUAGGGUUUAAAGAAAAAAAGUUGAGAUAGUGAGAAUGGGAUGGUGAAAGGGAAGAAAAAGUGAUUGGAGCCAAAAUAUGUGCUCUAAUGGCACAUAUUCGAUAUGAUUUGUGCACCAAAGGACAUUCAAAUCACCGAACUUCGCCUAAAUCGAUGCUAAGGCCUUAGCCAUAAGUUUAAUUUGUACUUUGGAGACUUAUCUCAGGUUCAAGGGAAGAAAAGGGUGCAAGUUGAAUUACUUUGGAUUUUGAAAGAUCAAGAAAGGGCUAAAUGAGGAAAUAAGUGAGUCAAGACUCAUGGACAAUAAAGAAAGGCAAGAAGAGGAUAUCAUGAGUUUGGAAGAUGAGAAAUGACCAUUAUAGAGUAAGAAAUAAGGCAAGAAAACAUGGGAAAUGAGGCAUGAAGCAAGAUUCAGCUGCAUGGAAAUUUAGAACUCAAAAAUCUGAUGGUAAUAUAUACUUUGACUUUGAGGACAAAUUUAGAGAACUUUCCGGACUCCAUUUUAUACAUACUAUAUAUCGUUUUGAAGCUCGGGAAGUCAGAAGUCUCAACGCUUCAAACGGUGUACAAAUGGAGCUGAAAUGAAGAAGUUAUGACCAUUUGAAGAUAAUUGCACCAAGUUGAAGGGUCAUUUCGAAAUGAUUUCGAAAUUCAACUUAUGAAUUUGAAAUCCACUUUGAAAUGACACCAAUUUCGAAUUCACCCAUUGCCACUUUGAUGUUUCAUCUUCCCUACCUCAGGAAUUGCAUCUAGGGCACUCCAUCCCCCUAAGUGGACCCCACACGACUAGAAAUCACCAUUUUAUUAUUUUUAAUUAUUUUUAGGAAAUUAUUUUGUAAUAAGUAGCCAAUGAGAGUGUGCCACAUGUUAGGUAAUUGAUGAUAUUAUAUAAACUCUCUUAAUUCUAGGUUUUAGGGAUCUUGGAUCUUUUUCCGAAGAGUUUGACAUUGAAGGUGGAAGAAGAUGAGAACUUUGGUUUGUUUUCUUUUUCUUUUUUAUUAAAUAUAUUGUUUUAGGUUCUUUUGAUUCAAAUUAUGGAUUUUUACCCUAUUAUGGAUUGUGAAUGUGACAUCACCCCCAUGAGAGGCUAAAAGCCAACUUGGGGCUUGAAGCAUGAAAACCUAAGGGUUAGGAAACCUAUAGGGACAAUGGGUAAAUUAUUAUAACAAUGAGAUUAAUUAUUGGUUGGAUUACAAUUUAUCAAUUUUUUUUAUCCUAUCCUUAUGAGUUAGUUUAGGGAAUGAUACGGUAGGUUAUUACCUCAUACUAGUGAUUCUUGGUAAUUCUUGAUCAUUAGUUGUCCUUGUCUUCCCUAUCGUUAUUUGCCCCAAAACAAAGCUAUAAGGAGUAGGAAGGGUUAAAAAGCCAAAUCUUAAACUGGUAAUCAAUCUCAUUCUUUUGAUGGUUUUAGGAAUCUGUUUUAAAAAUGAAAAAUUAGAUUUCGGAUGCAAUUUUGAGUUAUAGAAUUCAACUUGAUUGCGAGCAACCAAGGAUCCCAAAACCCUAAGAUCAUAUUACUUAAAAGACCCUUGUUUUCUUUCAUUUCUAUACCCUAGGUUAGAUUGUGGAAAGCCCAAAACUUGAAUCAAUUGAAUUUAAAAUCAAUAUUCAUUUUGUUAUUAAUUUAAUUUCUUUUACUUAGUUUUACAUUAUUCUCAUAUUGUUUUUCACUUUAGGAUUUAAACGAAAGCAAUUAAUUUAUUCUAGUGUUGACAAUUUCCAUAAGCCAGUCCUUGAGGACGAUACCCGGAAUACUAUAAAAGUCGUAGUGACUCUUUCUCUAGUUUUUCUUGACCAGAGUUGCUACGUAAAAAGGCUAAGUAUUUUGGUACAACAAAGAAGUCUAGUCAGAAAGUGAACUAGAAAAAAAAAAAAAAAACCUUUGUGCCAAUGUGGAAAAAGGAGUGCCAUUUUGAAUAAUAGUUUCACAUAGAGCCCAAACUUAACUUUAUACAUGGAUAGAAGCUCAUUUUGGCUCAAAACUCAUUCUUAUCUCCCAAAGACAUGAAAACAAUGGUUUGUCACAAUUCUUUCCAUUUCUUCAUAGUUUUUUUUUUUAUUUUUUUAUAUUUUAAAGUAAACUCCCUAUAUUUCUCCAUUGUUACAUUUUUACAUCUCUAUAUCAAGCUCGCGAAGUGGCAUGCCUAAGUAUUCUUCCAUUGUUACAUAGAGGAAGUGAGCAAAUAAUUAAGCAGCCUAAUAUAGAUUAAGGUGGCACUUGUGUUUUGACUAAAUAAAAGAAACUAAAAUAUUUGACUUUUUUUCUUUAAUUAAAAGUAAUCAGUUGAUAUCAAUCAAUAUAACUAAAAUAAACUUGUUAUCAAUUACAUCAAUUUAGUUAUGGUAAUUGAUAUUUAAUAGGUUACUUUUAACUUAAUAAAAAAUUCAAAUAUUUUACUUUUUUAUAUUAAGUCAAAAAACAAAUAUCACCUAAGCUAGUUUAAACAUUAAUAAAAUUUAUGGGUCCACAAUGUAUAGUGAAACUUACACACAAAAUUUUAGUAUAUGCAUGUUUAGGUUAUGAUAUUUAGUUGUCCUUUUUUUUUUUUUUCUUUUAAUAAUAUUCCAACCAAUGAUACGGAGCUUUCAUUAUUACAACUUUUUACACUGUAAAAAAUGAAAAAGAAACAAGGGGGGUCUUUUCUUCCAUGUGGGGUAUAGUUUGGUCAUUUCUGUCUCUGAAGAGGAGCUGUCUCGGGUAUCCUCAUUGGCUUAAAAUUUGAACACAUCAAGUCUCCAUACCUUAUUGCAAUGUUUGGUUUUAUAAAUUUUGAGGGAAAAUGGAAGAGAAAGAAAAUAUAAAAGAAAAGUAGAAAGAAAGAAAAAGUGAAAGAAAAUAAAAAAUAGAUUAAAAGUUGAUAAGCUAUUUUUUUUUGUCACUUCAAACUUUUUUUAUUUAUUUUAACUCAUCAAUAUAAAAAUUAAAUAAUUUAAAAAUACAUAAAAUUUUAAUUAAUUUUAAUUAUAUUUUAUUUUCUUUUAUAUUUUUCAUAGACCAACCAAACAUGAAAAAAAUCAUUUUUUUUAAUAUUUUUUUUCUUUCCUUAAUAUUAUUUUCUAGUAACCAAACAUAACCUAUAUGCAUCUCACCAUUUGAUGCGCUCCCAUCACUACAUUGAGCCAAAUCCAAUGGGAACAAACUUGGUGAUGUUUAGUGCAACCGUUAUUCCUUCAAAGUGGAGCCCACUAUUUUUUUUUCUUUUUAGGUUGAUGAAUGUAUGUUCAACAACCAGUCACACUCAACGUGUGUAAUGAAAUAUAAUCUGUUGGAAUAAACAUGGAAAGAUAUACCAUAUGGGUAAUUAAAAAAAAAAAAUCCGAUUUGGGUAAAAAAUAUAUAUUAUUAUUGGGGUAAGUUUGAAAUUUUGUUUUGUUGAUGAAGAUUAAACUUUGGUUACUUUCCUAUGAUUUACACUAUUUUUAAAAAUUUAAGAUUGAUGGAAUCUUAACUAAGUAAAUAGAUAAAUAUAAUUAUGUUAGGUGAGAAGUGGGUUAUGUAUAUUACAAAUAAAAUUAAUUGAAAAAGAAUUUUAAAUCAAAAAUUUAAAAAGAUAAUCUUUUUAUAUAAUAAAAUUAAUUCAAAAAAGAAUUUUUUCUAAAUAUUUUUAAUUUAAAAAAGAAGAAAAAGCAUUUUCAAAUCUUUCUAAGAUUCUUAAGUGUGCUAAAUGAUUUUUUUUUAUUUUUUAUUUAUAAAAUAUGAUUUUAAAAUUGAUUUCAAGUCACUAGAUUUUUUCUAAUUUAUUCUUAUUGUGAGAGUUCUUUAAAAAAUUCAUAUGUUUAAACUUUAAAUUAUUAUUCUUUUAUUUAACUUGGAACUCUAAGAUUGUUCAUGAUUUUUUUCUUGGAUUCAUGAAUUUGUAUCUCUUCAAGGCAUUGAAGAGUCCAUGAAAGAGCAUAGUGACAAGAAUCAAAUUAGGUGUAAAUUUUAAAAUGUAAAUCUCAAAUAUAGAAACCAUAAAAUAAAUAUGUACUUCUUCUCCAUAUUUAAUGGAUUGUAACUCUAUUAUUUCUAAUCUAAUGGUUUUUACUUUCACAUAGAUUUUGUGAGUGAUUUUUCAUGCAAAUUACUAUCUCCUUGUCCGAUUGAAUUUCUCUUCCAAUUGUACAAUUCUUAAAGAAAAAUUAAAAUCUUACCUUAUAUAUAUAGACACACGUGACGUUUAUUUGAUUUUACUCCCGUGAUAGGAAGAUAUAAGAGAAGUUUUUUAUUUAAAAAAAAAAAAAUUGGAAAAACCGCUUUCAUUUAUAGGGAGGAUUAUUCGCGGAUCAGGACAUUUGAAUCCUAGGCCUAUUUGUGGGCUGGGUUGAACAUUAGUUAAAUAAAUGUAUAUUGACAUUAGAAUAUGAUUGAAAGUUGGGUUGCAAGCAGCCACGGGUGCUAUAUAUAUCUCCUAUAUUUAUAAGGUGCUGCAAAUCGCUUAUCCUAUCCAAGUUAUUUCUCCGGGUUAGGGUGUCUCUCUCCAGAAAAAGAAAAAAAAUGGUGAAAUUGAUGGCUACUUACACGGUGAGACCAGCCAAGGAGACACCGGGAGGCUACAGGUGUUUAUCAGACAGUGAUCAAGUUAGAGCUCUCACUCACGCACCCAUCAUCUACUUUUACCCACCUGUAAAUGUGUCCCUUGAAUCGGCCAUCGAGAUUCUGAGGCACUCUCUGAGUGAGGCAUUG
rnacentral:lncRNA from 1 species